AGAGGGAACCUCUAGGGAGCCAAACUCUUAGGGUUAAACCCUAGGUAGGAAAAACCUAGUAGGACUCUUACUUGAACAAAUUGGGAACUCCUCCAAACAUCUUUCCAUAGCUUGCCCAAUAUUUGUUUCCUUAUUUUUUAUAGAAAUUGAAACAAGGAAAUAUAAUCAAAUAUCACCAAAUAAAAUUUAAUCUAAUAAAAUCCUUCUUUAAGGUAAACUAAAUCUUUCGUUUUUACCAAAUCAAAUCUGAAAUUUUUAUUUUGGAAAUAAAAUCAAAUUCGAAUAAAAUAAAAGCUUAAUUUGAUUUUGAAAGUAAAAUUUGGAUAUAUUAAUAAUAAUAUUAUUAUUAUUAUUAUUCAAAAUCAAAUCAAAUCUUUUUUUUUGAAAAUAAAAUAAAAUCUUAUUUUAUUUUUUCAAUAAAUAAAUAAAACAUUUACUUAUCUUAUUUUUGAGAGGCAAGGAUUUGAUAUCUAUGAUUACGUCUUGCAUCCCAAAUUGCAGUAGAAAAUCUGUUGCCAUGCAUAUUACUUCAUUAGGAGCUGCUUCCUUUUCUUUUCUUUUUUUUUUGCCAUAAUAAAGGACCCUUGAAGCUAUAGCCUAUACUUGUCCUUCCCUCGUUAGCCGCAACCAAAAUGCUAGAUGCUGCUGCUUUAUUUGGUUGUGAUUAUAUAGGCUAUUAGUAUAUAUAAGCAGCUCACGCCGAACCCUUCUGACUCACGCUUCUUUUUUUUGAAAAUAAAAUAAAAUAAAAUCUUAUUUUAUUUUUUUCAAAAAAUAAAAUAAAAUAUUUUUUAAAACAAUAAAUUUUGUUUUUUAUAUAUAUAUUAUUAUCUUACCACAUCCAUCAUCAUGAUAUUUAUCCUAUAAAAUCAUGAUUGAAGUUUGUCAAGAUAGUAGAGUAGACUAAAUCAGCAGAAGUUUGAUACAGAGGCCUAGCUAGCUAGCUAGAUUUUGGAGACUUCUCUUUUAUUUCUUCAGUAAGAUGUGGAGUUGCGCUUCCCAAUAAUAAGUACUUCCACUGGCUGCCCAGAACCAUCCCUAGCCGGGCUGAAGCAUAAUGGUAAGUAAACAUUCCUUAUAUAUAUAUGCAAUCAUCUCCAUGAUUCCCUGCAGAUUCCUUAUAUAUACAGAUUUUAUCAACAAAUCAUGACCACAAUUACUCAUACACAGGCCUAAUGGGAUCGCUUGUCCGCGAAGAAGGCUAUAUUUAUUCAUUAGCGGCAAGCGGAGAUUUAUUGUACACAAGAUCCGACAGCAAGAACAUCCGUGUCUGGAAGAAUAAAAAGGAAUUCUCUGGGUUCAAAUCAAAUAGUGGAUUGGUUAAAGCAAUUAUCAUUGCUGGUGAAAAAAUAUUUAUGGGUCACCAAGAUGGUAAAAUUCGCCUAUAGAAGAUCUCUGCCAAGAACCCCAGCAUUCACAAGCGGGUAGGAUCUUUGCCCUAAAAAAGUCCGUUUUUAAGAGCUCCAUGAAUCCGAAUAGCUACGUCGAAAUCACGAGAAAACAUAAUGUCGUAUGGCUGAAACAUUUUAAUGCGAUUUCGUGCCUAAGCUUGAACGAAGAUCAAACACUUUUUUGGUGAGUAUCCGAUUCAAACUGCUUAGAAUCUGUUAAUGCUCACGAGGACGCCGUGAAUUUGGUUGUUGCAGGAUUUGAUGGAUUAGUAUUCACAGGUUCGGCUGACGGAACGGUGAAAGUGUGGCGCAGAGAGUUACAGGCGAAAGGAACCAAACAUUUCUUUUCACAGACAUUAUUGAAACAAGAGUGCGUCAUGACAGCAUUGGUGGUGGACCAUUCGUCUUCGUUCCUUUAUCGUGGCUCGUCCGACGGGCUUGUUAAUUAUUGGGAACAGGUCAAGCUUUUGUUGCAUGGGGAAUUAUUGAGAGGGCACAUGCUUACGGUUUUGUGCUUAGCUACAGAGGGUAAUUUGGUGUUUAGCAGAUCGGCUGCAAAAAAGUUUCAUUGUUCACUUUGAAUUAUGAAUGUGUUGAUUUUUCACUUGUCAAUUCUUCAUGAUUGUUUCAUUUAUUUCUUUUCUUUUUAGGUGAUUGUAGUAUUUCUUUUGUCUUCCGAGCCCCAUUACCUUGAUCAUAUCUUGGUUUUUUCCCUUGGAUCAUAAAGAAAGAUUGGUGUUUUUCGAUGAACCGCGAAGGAAAAAAAUGCUUUUUUCUUUCUUAUGUCUUCCGAGCCCCAUUACCUUGAUUACAUCUCGGUUUUUUCCCUCGGAUAACAAAGAAAGAUUUGACGUUCUUGUCAAGGAAAAACACAAAGGGAGAAAAAAAUGCUCUACAUGCGGCGAAACCACCCCAGUUAACCGAACCCUAGGGGUCCGAACCCUAGGAGGCUGAACCCUAGGGGGACGAACCCUGGGGGAACGAACCCUGGGGGGACGAACCCUAAGGGGAAAUCAAUGUUUAGAUGGAAUUCUGCUCUUUAGAGCCCUUUAUGCUGAAUUCUUCUUGUUUGCAGGCCCUCUUCGUUGGACAUUAUGCAGACCCGAAAACCGCCAAGGAGGCCCCGUUCCUUAGUGAUUGGGGAAAGGCUCCCCUCUUUGGUCUUUCCAAUGUCUUUUGGGAGCAAGUCUAGACUUAUGACCGUACAACUUUUCCUCCGCCAGAGAAGGAAGACUUGUUUCUAUAUGCAGCGGCUUGUGGAGGUUGGGAUGACUUUCCCGAUUUUGAUUGCAUUCCCUGCAUAUGCAUAGAGAAACAAGAAUACCCUUUCAGUCCCCUUCGCUUCCUGUCUGAUUCAUCUGAUCGCCUUCAAGGAUGGCAGGAUUGGACCGACGAGAUAUUUGGAAACACUGAUUACGUGGAUAUACUCAAGAGUGUGGGCAUCUUUUGUUGUGUUCAACUAUGCAGAGACCUACGUAUCCAACAGGACCAUAACGCCCUUACUGUAUUGAUCUCACGAUGGUCCUCCUCUACUUGCACAUUUGUCACUACUUGGGGGGGAAUGCACCUCUACGCUGGAGGAUGUCUAUGUCAUCUACCAGUACGCAUUUUGCCCCCUGCGCGUGAGUCACACCUUUGGUGAGAUGAUCGCGCAAAAUAUUUUAAGUGUUGAAGUCUUGAUUCCAGUUUCUAAACACCUCACGAGGCUUGAUUAUUUUUUUUUUGCAAGCCUCGAAAAUGAAAGUCCUAGGAAAGGGAACCUCUAGGGAAGCAAACCCUCGGAGGGCGAGCUCUAGAGGAGCUCUCCCGGGAUAUCUUGGAAAAUCUUCAAUCUAAUCCUUCCCCACAUGAUAUAAUCCUUCGAGUCUUGACGCUAAAAAUUCUUUGUCUAAUGUAAGCUCGGAUGGCCUGUUGUGAGUGGUGCAUCGCUUUCUUCAUGCCUUUCUACAAUUUCUUCACAUAACAGUUUUGAGAGCACCGAUGAGACUCUUGCUUCUUUGAGAAGGAAUCCUUCUGAGACUAUUGCUGAUGUUUAUCCUCCCAAGGAGGAUUCCGCCAAGUUGGUGAUUGCUCGGGAGGGUAUUGUGGAUAGCACUUUGGGAGUGUUGAAUGACCUUCCGUCUCUUGUGGUUGUGGCCUCUCCUAACUCUCCUUGGACAUGUCUCCCUUCCAUGUUAGAUUGGAUCUCUUUAUUUCCAAUCAUGUUGUUGCACUUCAUUUGGAAGUCACUUCACGUCAUCAUGAGAAUGACUUAUUUUAUGUAAAGUUUUAGGAGCUUCAAGAUGUCAUGGAUAAAUUGAAGACCAAGCUUUUGGGAAAUCAAGUUAGUUGCCCAAGACCUUGAAGGCCUGACAACCUUGAAGGCCCGAUAGCCUCGAAGGCCUGAUAGCAUUGAAGGCCAAGCUUUAGCUAUUCCCCUCUCUUCAGUUCUACAGGUCAUGAACUUUCAUAGUUUUUUCCAUUUCCUGUAUCAGAAAAUUCAUUUACAUGUAUUGCAUUCAUCAAAUUAUAGUUUCUUUAACCUUGUUGAUUGCUUUUAAUUUGAAUGAUUCCUUAAAACUCAAUAUUUAUCAUUGAAUCUCAAGUUAUUCAAAUUAAUACUCCAAGACAACAAUAGGUAUUAUAAACAAACAAACAUGAAUUUUGUCAAAAACAUGUAUAUAAAUUUUUCACAAACCAACACUUUAUACUUUUUUAAAAAGAAAACAUUCGAGUAUAAAUGAAAGUUUGUCAAUUAAUUGAUAAUCAUAUUGCUUUUAAUGAAAAACAUAACGUUUCAUAAUAAAUCUUGCUUUUGUCGAAGAAAGCAUAACGUUUGCCACUUUUAGAGAUAAAGUGUAACUUUCUUGCUUUUGUAGAAUAAAGCAUAACGUUCACCACUUUUAAAGAUAAAGUGUAACUUUCGGGGUUGAGGGCUUAUAUUCAGGUGCCUCAGUUACUUUUGAAGUUGAAAGCAUAACUUAGGAGGACUUAUAGUCAGGUGCCUAAUUCACUUUUGAUGAUAAAGUGUAACACUCGGGUGCCUCGUCACUUGGGUCAUCCAAUUUCUUGGCAAGUGCAGUCUACGAGAACUUGAAAUCGGGUGCUUCGUCACUUGGGUCGUCCAAUUUCUUGGCAAGUGCAGUCUAUGAGGACUUGAAAUCGGGUGCUUCAUCACUUGAGUCGUUCAAUUUCUUGGCAAGUGCAGUCUACGAGGACUUGACCACCAUUUAGAGUGGACCACCAUCUUGGGUGGAUUUUUUUUAUUUUUUAAUUCGUCAAUUAUUAUGCCUCCUCCCUUGGUCACCCAAUUACUUGGCAAGGGAUAUUCCUGAGGACUUAAACCACCAUUUUUUGUGGACCACCAUCUUGGGUAUAUUUUUAAUUCAUCUGUAGUUCAGAGUUUUUUCAAUGGUAGAACCAGUAUUUGGGUUCUUGACUUUUGGGAGUGCACCAUGGGUGAUAGCAUUGCACGUUUCUUCUCCUAGUUCAAUCUCUUCGGCCGCCAGCUUCUCAUGGUAUAUCAUUCAUAGACUAUAACAGUCCAUAGUGGAAUGUCCUGCAUAUUGGUGGUAUACACAGAAGUCCGACCUUCUUUUCAUCUCUUCCGUUACAACCAACCGGGGCCUUAGAGGCUUCACCACUCCGUGCUCAACCCAUUGUUCAUACAAGCCCCUGAAUGCCUUCUCGCUGCAUGUGAUAGUCUCUGGAACUGGCAUUCUGGUAUACUGGUCACCAUGUUUUUCUCUGCUUCGCUCAAAUUUCUCAUUCUUCUCCCUCUUGCCCCCUUGUAGUUUUGACUGAGAAUCCGCCAAAGCAACAGUUGCUGUCCUCUUGCUCUUCCAUGUAACCAUCGCAUGGCUAUUGGAAAAUGUCAUGAUUCCCCCCAAGUCUUGUGCAAAAGAUGAGAGGGUCGCAAAUGAAUCACAAGCCUUGGUAAUGAGGUGGGGCUUGAAGGUGUCUAAAGCACCAUUGUUACAUAUGCUAACUAAAUUCUUUUCUUCAAUUGGCUCUGCAUACUUCUGUGCUUGGGCCCUGAACCUAUCCACGUAAUCUGAUAGCUCCUCAUUCGGCUUCUACUUAAACCACUUGAGCUCUACAAUUGUUACCUAUUUCUACACAUAGAAAAACUUCCUAAAAAAUUAUAAUUUUAGGUCAUCCCAAUCAUGGACUGACCCCUUCUCCAAAUUAUAGUACCAACUGAAGGCACUAUCCGACAAAGUCUUGUUGAAUUCUCGCAUCAAUAAGUUGUGUUUGUUCACUUCAUCAUAUCGUAGCCACGGAGACAUUGACUCUACGAACCUGACAAUAUGUUCCCUGGCAUUUCCUUUCUCCUCGUUGUAUUUUGGAAAUUAUGGGAGAUGCUCAAUAUACCCUGUCGGGUAAGGUUGCCUCCGAAUGUGUGCCGGGUAAGGUGGAGUAAAGUCUAACUCCGAGGGUCGGGAUGUCUGCCUCCGAAGUUGAUUGAUCACAUCGAUCAUAUCAUCCUUCGUCACGUAUUGGCUCGUGGCAUGAACUCUCUGGGGUGUUGUGAUAUACUGUUGUACCGGCGGUGUGUAUGGUUGAUGCAUACUUGCAUCGUGCAAAGCUGGCACUGGUGGUAGUUACUGGCUCACUCGCUGGACAUGGAUUGGGACGGUUGGCAUCUGCACCUGUGAAAAUACUGGGAGAGCAGUUGGGAUGAUGUUUGUAUGAGGUUGACUUUAUUCCAACCUGGGUCGUGGCGUGUCACCGUUGUUUUGGGGCUCUAGGUUGAUGAUUUGAACCUACUGAUUCUCCGUCGAUGGAGGUACAAUCUGGUUCUCUUUGUUGUUGUUGCCAUUAUUAUUGUCUUCCACUCUUGCUUGUUCUCCCUGCAAACUGCCUGGGAACAUGGCCUUGAAGGUAGGGAUCUGCAUCAACUGCUGGCAAAAAUUUCCCAUCUCCUCUUGCUUCCUCUGCAUCUCCAGCAUCAUGGCCAUCAUCAUCCCUUGUCCUUCCCGUGCUUCCUUCAACGCCUUGAGCAUCUCCAGUUGCACAGCAUUUGUCUGCUCUUGACUAGGAUCCUCGCUUUGCCUUCCUGCGUUUGUUUGUUGUUGAUUGGCCAUAUGUGGUGAUGUUGAACUCCCUUCCGAAGCGUCUUCAAUAAUUGGUUGGUCAAAAUCCAGAUUUACGCCUUGGAAAGCUUGAGUUGCUUACCUUGGAACUAGAUCCGGUGAGGUAAUGCUAUUUGUUGGUGAAGCAGCUCUUCCUGUAGUUCUCCCACUUCAAGUUGUGAGCAUACCCUUCACGAAUUCUACACGUCCCCAGCAGAGUCGCCAAAUAAAUGUGGGCAAGGAAAUCAUACCUUGCUAGGGUUAGGGUUUCGUGUUGGCUGAGGAGGAGAGAAAUCCACGAAGAGCACGGAAUUGAUUGGUUGAUUGAAGAUGGGAGAACGACAGGUGGGCGAUUACUCCAACAACGCGUGGCAGAACUCCUAGAAUCCGGGAACCGUGUUAGGGUAGCAGGGAUUCCAAGAGCCUUCUUGAGUCCUUCGAGCUGAUAGAAUGUCCAAACCCUAUAGUGCUUUUAGGUGGAAUUUCCAAGCCUUAAGCAACUAAAAGAGUCCUUUGAUCUUCCAAGAGUCCAAGUUCUGAGUCUGAAGAGAGGUCCCCUUCCUAAUGGAAUGGAAGGGAUAUUUAUAGGGUUUUCUGAAAAGUAGUCAUGUGCAAGGCACAUGCUUUCAAGGAAAUUCUAGAAAUACCCUUUAGUCAUUAGAAUAAUGCCCAUAUUGCUCUGUCCUUCUAGCCACCAAUCUAAUCCCUCAAUCGAUUCCCAAAACGAACCGCCUCCACGAGUCUUCCGCCUCGGGACACGUGGAGGCUUCUCCCGAGUCUAGCACAUUUAUUUCUGACUUUUUUUGUCUUCAUUCCAUUAGGUUAUGUGAACCCUAAUUUGCACAUUUAAUGAGGUCGUGGAACCUUAAUUGUGCAUUUAAUUCAAUUAGGUCAUGUGAACCUUAAUUUUACACUUGGGCCCACAAUAUAUAUAUAUAUAUAUAUAUAUAUAUAUGAAAUCAUUACUACUUUUACUUGAUAUAUGUUACAUGUAUUUGACAUAUGUUACAUGUUGUUGGUAUAUAUAUAUAUAUAUAUAUAUAUAUAUAUUAAUCUUAAUUCCCAUCUAAUAUUAAUUUAAUAUUAGAAAACCUUUUUCUAUUAGAUAAAAAUAUUUUUUUCUUUUAAGACAUAUAAUAACAAUGUAAAUAAUAUGUCCUAGAGCCUUUAAAUGAAAAAUCAAUUAAUAUGCAAUUGACCUUACAUUUGUUUUCCUAGAAAGAAAAACUCUCUUCAUCCAUUUGAAAUUCCCACCAACGUUCUUUUAUCAACAAAUACCCGAAACACCAUAAAACAAUUUAGUAUAUAAUCAUUUCAUCAUCAAAACUUAAGGAUGGAAUAUGACAAAGUCAACAUUAAGCAAAAUUUACAACAAAUACUUCAUAAAAUAUUCCUCUAUUUAUCUCAAUUCACUUGGCUUCCCUAAACAUAUUUUUAAUAACAUUUAUUCAUCAUUAUUAUAACUCGCAAUAUUAACAAACAGAUCAUUCCCAGAAAAGAGGGGGCUUUCUGAUAAGGAUUUUUCUUUAUUGGCGCGCAAUUAGGUGACCAAAUCACUUUUCUCGACAAAACUUUCUAGACAUCGUCAAUAAUGCAAAUAAUAAUAUGAAUAAUUUUGUUGUCUCAAUUAUUAAUUUAAUAAUAUAAAAUAUUGUGCAGAUAAUACUGUGACAAUAAUUGAAUCAAUAAUAUGAGAUACUAUGUAGCAAUUACUGUGACAAUAAUUAAAUAAAACUGAGUGAUUUCUCACGUAAGCACCAAUAAUCAAAGAUAUUGUACAAUACCGUGCGCUACUAUGCAACCACGCGUAUUAUUGUACUUUUAUCAUUGGGGUAUUUCAACAUUUAACGGUAAAAAUUUUGCCGUUAUUUUUAUAAAAAGUUAUUUCUGUCAUUUUUAACUCUGACAAUUAUUCCGUUGUGGGGUCCACCAAUGAUUGUGCCGUCGUACGAAUAUUCCCUAAUAAAAUGAAUAUUCCCCGACCAAUCGAAUAUUUUAUGAUAAAUUACUUACUUUGUAAAAUUUAUAAAUAUUACCCACAACUAUAACAUUAUACCAAAUCCACACCUUAUUACUCAAAAUAAUAUUUGGAGAAAAUUAAAUCUUUAUUCAUAAAAGUUGGGGUCUUACAAUUAUAUAACAGUCAAUCGUGCAAUAAAAUUUAUUCUUGGAGAUCCGUUAGAGAUACAUGCACAGUGGCGAAGCCACAUAUAAUAUUGUGGGGUCAAUUGAUCCCAUUGAAAAAAAAUAAUUACUUUAUAAUGUAAGGUAAAUUUUUAAAUAUUAUAUAUAAAUUGACCCCACUAAAAUUUUAUAAAUUUUCUUUAUAUAGGGUCAAAUUGAAAAUUUAUAACUUUGUCAAUCAAAUUUUAACCACAUAUGACUCAUAUCAUCUCAAUAUAUAUAUAUAUAUAUAUAUAUAUAUAUAUAUAUAUAUAUAUAUAUAAAAGUGUGACUUCAAUGUACAAAAUUAUUAUAAAAAAAAUUGACUAGGAGGCAUUGUCCCUGAACCCAGUCAAAUUAUUUAUAAUUUAGCAAUAAUUUUGAACCCAUUGAAAUUUAUUCCUUGUUUCGCCACUAUACAUGCAGCUAAAAUAUAUACCAAAAAAUUGUUUUGACGUUUUCAAAUUAAAUUAAUAAAAUUGCACAAGUUAACUUCUAAAAUAGUGCAUUAGAUGACAACUCCUUAUUUAAAAAAUUACUUGGUGUUUAAAGUGAUAAUUACUUAUUUGGCUUGAUUUAUUAUUUAAUUUAUAAAGAAGUUUUUCCAUUUCUACCCUCGUUAAAAGUUAAUAAUUCAACAAAUCUCUCUCUCUCUCUCUCUCUCUCUCUCUCUCUCUCUCCAUCAUUGUCGUUUUAUUUAUCAUUAUCCAAACACUACUGCUACAUUAAAAGUUGCUGAGAAAUGCAGUGUUUUAUUUUUUAAUUGUCCUUUUACAUUUUUAGUGUCCUUUUUCUGCAUGAAUGUCUGAUUGCAGGUAAAUUAAGUCUUAUCAUUGUCUGUUAGAAGUUAUCUGCUCAUGUUUAACUUGAGUUUUUCUUUUUUCUUUUUGGUAUUUUGUAAUCAAUAAGUCUAGGCAUAUAUUUUUUUUGGACCGAAUUGUUAGACAUAUCUAAUUUUUUUUCUUUUAAAUCCUAAAAAAUUUAUAAUAUUUAUUUUAACUAAUUUUUUUAUAAAAUUCAAUGAGUUAAAUAUAAUUUGGAUACAUAUAAAAAAUAGAAUUGUACAAUUUAUAUAACACAUGUUUUUUAUAUGUAUCCAAAUUAUACAUAAAUUACUGAAUUAUAUGAUAGAAUGAUUUAAUUGUACGAUAAUUAUUUAUAAAAUAAUUUUUUUCAUUGUUAAACGUUAAUUUCAUAUUAUUCGGAUAGUCAUGAUAUGCUAAAAGCUAUCACUCAUGAUGUAAAAUAAAUAUAAUUAAUUUUAUUAAUUAUUUACAAGAAUUAGUAGUGUUUAAUUUGUUUAAAUAAAAUUGGAACCGUUCUAAUUUUAUUUAUUCUACUACCAUCAUAAUAUUGAACCUAAAUGGUUAUACCAUAAAAAAUAUUGAUUUAAAAGUAAUGACCCAAAUAAUAAUAAAAUAAGUAUAUUAAAUUUGUACCAUGAUGAAAUAAAUUAAAUAUUUUAAUAUUUAUAAUAAAUUAUUUAAGAAAUACUAAUUAUAAAUUAAUAAGUUCCUAAAUAGCUUAGAAAUUAGAUUAAAACUCUAAAUACUAAAGAGUUUAGGAAAGAUGAGUUGAGAGACUUUAUUAUGGAGUAGCGCGUACUACAAUUAUUCAUUCUCAAAUCUAAAUAGUUUAGGAAAGAUAUAGAAGAAAAAAAAAAGGACUAAUCACCUUAGGAUUUUUUAUAACCCUAAAUUAAUCCUUCAUCUAUAUUUUCUUGAUGGAUCACUAUUAGAGUGCUACAAACACCAAGUAACUUACAUUUGAUCCGUGCAAUUGAAGGAGCGUCAAGUGAUAUAAAGAAUUGGAACUUGAAAGACCAAAUUAAAAGUUUAUUUGUUUUUAUCCGGAUAAUUUUAAACCUUACUCAAUUAAUAAUAUCGUAUAAAGAUGAUUCUUGAAAUUAUAAAAAAAAUUAAAUACAAUUUAUAACAUACUUCCGCGUGCGUAUAAUUAUAUUUUAUGCACUAACAAUGCAAAAUAUAUAAAGAUGACUAUAAAUAUGUGCUCAAAAUAAUAGUUGCAUUUUUAAUCAUAUAAACAAAUAUAGCCUUAACAUUUAAAUCAUUAUUCCAAUAACUAUCUAUAGCUUUACGCAUCCAGUCCAACUUAUGGCGAACAUUAUACAUAAUUAUCAUCCGUGCCAAAUUAUCAUAUAAUCUACAUAUAUAUACCCAUGCAAAUUCAUUAAAUAGAUUAUAUGAUAUUAAUUACGACAUAUAAUUCGGCCAACAAAAACACAUAAACCAAACUGCGAAGCAGUAAUAGAUUCUCAAAAUCAUAUACGCUGGACAUAUAUAAAUUGACUUAAUAUAUGAAUUUACAAAUUAAUACAGCUACAAUCUGACAAUUUCAUUGUCAUGAAUGGGCCAGAAAGCUUGUUGUUUAAUUUGGUUAUUUUGCUUUUGUUAGCCAAAAAGUAUGCAUGUAAAUUACUAAGCCAAAUUGCUAGACAUCAUCACGUGAUUACAUUAACCAAAUCGAUACACAUGGACGGAUUACAUGAAUUCAUAUCAUAACAAUCAAAGUGACUUUUUGAUUGGUAAUGCCAAAUUUCAAACAGCAGUACGGUGGAAGUUAAACAGUAAUGUCAUGAUGGGUUCGGCAAAAUUAUUUAACGUCCGUACGUUUAAGCGAUAUAAUCGUAUCAUAGGAGAAAUAAAUUAAUUGGAUCCCUCCGCAGAGUCGGUCUUGGGUUUUCUAAGGCUCAGAGCAAAUUUUUUCAAGUGUGUCUUUUUAUAUAAAUUAAAUAAAAAUAAAAAAAUUAUCAACUAAUUAUUUUUUAUUAAAAUUAUAAAAAAUUACAAAAGAUAAGGAAGAACACUUUAAAAUGUCAUCGAAACAAAGAAUUAUCACAUGUACCUACAAAAUAAAAAUAUCAAUGAAAUCGGUAAAACUAAUGAAAUACACAUUGUAGUUGGCAAGUUUUACUGAUUACACAAUUGAACUUUUAAUUUUUUUAAAUUACCACACUAAACUAAUUAUUAUUUUAAAAUUGAGUUAUUCCGUUAAAAAAAAUAAACGGACGUUAAUUUUUUAUCUACAAAACUAAUGAAUUACCCACUGUAGUUGGCACGUAUUACUGAUUACACUAUUGAACUUUUAAUUUUUCAGAUUAUCCCAUUAAACUAAUUAAAAAAUGAUUAUUUUAAAUAUUUUUAAAAAUAAUUAUUAUUUUCAGUAAAAAAUAUUAGAAACUUUAAUUUUUUUUUCCAUAAAAUGAGUAAAGUUUCAUAAAAUAUAGAUUUAAAAAAAUUAAAGUUUUAUGAAACCUUAUUGAUUUUUAAAUUAUUUUUUUCCUUUUGAAAAUAAAGUUUAUUUUUUUGAAUCUAUAUUUUAUAAAAUUUUACUCAUUUUUUUAAAAUAUGAAGAAUUUUCUAAUUUUUUUCUUAAAAAUAAUAUUUAUUUAUAAAAAUUAUUAAUUUCUUUUUUGAAAAACUUGAAUUAGUUUUUCUAUUUAUCUUUUACUGUUUUUUUAUUUUAAUUUUAAUUUUUAGUUUUUUUAAAAAAAUCUAAUAUUAAGAAUGGGUCAUUCUGUUAAAAAAUUAAGUAGACAUUAAUUUAAUUUAAAAUCACUUUAAUUUUUUUGAAUCUAUAUUUUAUAAAACUCUACUCAUUUUAUGAAGAAAAAAAAAUUCUAAUAUUUUUUACUUAAAAUAAUAAUUAUUUUUAAAAAUAUUUAAAAUAAUUAUUUUUAAUUAGUUUGAUGGGGUAAUUUGAAAAAUUAAAAGUUCAAUGGUAUAAUUAGUAAAAUGUGCCAACUACAGUGGGGUAAUUCAUUAGUUUUGUAGAUAAAAAAUAAACGUCCGUUUAUUUUUUUUAACGGAAUGACCCAAUUUUAAAAUAAUAAUUAAUUUAGUGGUGUAAUUUAAAAAAUUAAAAGUUCAAUGGUGUAAUUAGUAAAACCUACCAACUACAGUGAGUAUUUCUUUAGUUUUGCCCAAUAAAAUUUAAACCACAAAACAUCAUUUAAAAUAUUUUCUUGUUAUACUUUUAGAUGCAAAAUCAUCAAUUAUACUAUCAUAUUUAAUGUUUUCUAACAUAUCAUUUUUAAUGUAUAAUAUCGCUAAUCUUUUUAUUAUUUUAUUUUUUCUAUACACAUAAAUAUAUAGCUUAUAAAAAAAUAAAAAAAUAUGGGCCCCUCAACUGUGGGCCCUGGGCGGUUGCCCUGUUGGCCCUUGCCCAGGGCCGGCUCUGUCCCUCAAUAAAUUAUUUUUAUAUAUAAAAAAAUUAACUUUAUUUGGUGAAGUUCUGAUACUAAUUAUAAUUAUUAAUUUGUAAUAAUUCAUUUUAUCCGUAUACAUAAAUAGGAGAAGAACACGUAGAAUUAGACCUGACAAUUUAAUUUAUAAACUGAUGAGUCAACUUAUAUUAAUUAUAAUUAUUUGGCUUGGUUAAUUAUUUUAAAUUCUAUGAUUUGAUUUAAAUUUGAACCUAUAUUUAAAAAAUAAAAAAAAAACAGACCCAAACUAAUUAACUAAUUUUGACCUUUUUUUUUUUCCAUUAUCUUGACCUACUUGAUUUCUUCGUAUGUAAAGGUAUUCCAGAAUUCGCAAGGUAUUGGAAUAUGUAAAUAAAUGAGGUUCAAGGGAUGUGAAUUCAAAUAUGUCUGUCAUGCAAUAUACUGAAUCGUCUUGUUUUGAUUUCUUUUCUUUUCAUGUACAGUCUGUGUCUAUCAAGGUGGUUAUUGCUACUUUGAUUGAACGGAAUUAUACUUAUUUUAUGUUUAAUUAAAAAAAAUUGUUAAUUUAAAAAUAAUAAUAUAAUAAUAAAAUUAUUAUGGCAUUAUGUCAUUAUAUACUAGGAUCAAUAAAAAUAUUACUUUUCUCAUUCCAAAAUUAGAUAUAUAUUUUGAUUUUUUCGAGUUAAUUCGCGAAAUUUUAAAAUUCAAAAUUGAUAUGAAUUUACUUAGUUUUAAUACAAAUAAAUAUAACAAUUGUAAAUUAAUUAUAAAGUACUAUUAAUUAUCAUCUUUGUUGUUUUUAAAACUUAAACGAAAUUAUAUAUCAAUUUGGAGUUUUCGGAUUUUCCUAAUUGAUUUAAAAAAGUCAAAAUGUAUUUUUGAUUUUGGAACGAAGACAAUACUUUUUUUUCUAAAAAAAAUACAAAUUAGACUCUUUUUAAGAGUACAAGGUUGAAUGCAACUAUAAAAAUACUUAUACAAAAUAUUUGGUAAUUAAAAAAAAGACAAAAAAAGAAAAUGUUAUUUUGUGAUGAAUGGACUUUUCUAAAUAAAUGUGCUUUCUAAGUGUUGGGUCCUGACCUACUGGACCGAAUGGAUUGAGCCACUUAUUUGGUUAUUCUCUUGGGUCAUUAUUAUUGGGCCUUGUUAUUAGACUAAUUCAUUGGAUUAUCUUGAUUAGAUCUUACAAAGUCUUGGGUCGAAUUAUUGAACCGGCCCAUUAGAUAAUUUAAAUAUCUACAUCUUUGACUUGUAAUGAUGGAAAAAGAUAACGGUUGACCGAGAUCUCUGCCAUGCAUUAAUGUGGAUGAGAUUAUAGUCGGCCGGCGGUGGUGACCAGUGACAGUAUGUAGUGGGUGAGCUGCAUGCAGUCGGAUGAGACCGUCAGAGUCAGUGGAUAGACGUCAGAUAGCAGUAAAAGGCACGGUUAACCGGGCAGGAGAGUAUAACAUAGCAAAGAAGUCAUCCAAGUAAAGGUAACUGAUAAUUUUAUCUUUCUCAAUACACUAGAUAUUUUAUCCUCCAUUGUUAACCUUGUGAUCGCCUGUACUGACUCUCACGCCUGAGCUAUCCCCCGACGGUCGAAGCCGUCAAGCUUUUGGUAUUGAUCGUGUUUAUUGUGCAUGAUCAGGACGUCUUACGUGAUAGGGACGUGGCAGAAGAUCUUGGCGUUAACAUUGGCGCUAAAAGGAGGGGUGUGUUCUAGUGUUAUUGAGAUUUCAAUCACAAGUUCCCAUUUGUUCUACUUCGGAAGAUGGUGAGAAGUAGAGAUAAUACACCGGAGGGACAGCCGGAGGCUGUAAGUUCAUCCUUGCCUCGUGUUUCAGUUAAGAAUCGUCUGGGUCCUUCCAAAAGUGCUCAUGAGAGUACGGCUUCCAAGCAUGAUUCAGGGGGUUCUCGUUCGAGAGCCCAUGGUGAAGCCCGAAGAAGAUUGAACUUUGCUGCUGAUAAGGAGCGUGACCAUGGCCGAAAGCGGGUAGAAGGUUCACCGCCUAGGACACAUCAUCGAAGUGGUCGAGAUGAUAAAGCUGCCAAGUUGGCAAGGAUGGUAGAAGAAGCGGAUAAAGCUUUGGAUGUUCUUCUAAAGCAAAGAGAAGAUAUAGCCGAACAGAUGCUUCGGAUUGCAGAGUUGAGGGACGAGGCGUCUAGUCAUGUUCAAUCCGAGAGGCGUAGUAGGCCUAAGGAUGUACAGCAGCGAGACAGAAAAGAGCCGGAACAUUCUAUUCGUGUCUCUCGAGGAUAACCUCAGGAGCGAAGGAGAUCAAGGAGCAGAACCCCUGAGGUGUCAAAGAAAGCGUUUCUGGUUAUCGAUUCUCAAGGUCGUGAUGGAGGCAGACAAAGGAGCCGGUCAAGAGAGCAUAUACCUGAGAAUAGAAAGAGAGAGCACCAGCAUGAAUAUUCUCAUCGUGAUGACAUGGCCACGCGCCGAAGUAGAUCCAAAAGUCCAUCAAAGGCAGUGGGGUCUGAUAGAGGAGGUCGGUCCACUCAGAAGAAGAAAAUAUCUCCAGAGAAGGAAGUCUCCUCGAAACCGGAAUGUGUGGAUUUCUUGGUGAAGGAGUUGAAGGAGCAGACCUCAACGAUCUUCAAGCUAUCGGGUUAUUUCAGAAUGGGUUAGAUUUGGUGAAAUUGGAGAAGUUGGUGAAGAAGUUGAUGUUUCACCAUCCGAAGAGCUUAGCCGAAGCCUUUGAUAAAGCCGAAGGCUAUAUUGUAGUGGAGGAGGCUAUGAAUAGCCUGAAACGUCCUUCUUCGGACCGCAUGAAGGAGAUAGAUACUUCUAAGGCUGAGGGCGAUUAGAAGAAGGUUGGAGGGAAUAAUGAUCGGCCAGAGGGCAGCUCAAAGAAGUACAACAACACAUGGCGACAGGGAAGUAUCGCCCACCUGUUCCUACCCAGAAGGUGAACAAGGUUUACACUAAACUGAACAUGGAUAGGUCGGUGAUAUUGGAUCAGAUCAGGAACCAGCCGUUCUUUGAACCACCUCGUGAUAAUUUUAAGCCAGGACAGGGCAAUGCUCGAUAAUUUUGUGGCUAUCAUCAAGCUACAAGUCACGAUACAAAUGAAUGCUGUAAUCUGAAGGACUUUGUGGAGAGGAAGAUUCAGAGCGGUAUGUUAGUUCAGUAUGUGGCCAGAAGGGAUCAUCAGCAGGAACAACAGAAUGCAGAUCGGACUGUUCAAGUGGUUCAACUGGUUCCACCCAUACAACCUACUCCAAAUCAGCCACCAAGGCACGUCGUUGAUGUAAUAACCGGUGGGACGGCAGGAAAGUUGGUAGGGAAGAAGAGGAGAGGAUAUCUGGACUCGGUCAUGUCCGUGGCGGGUGUUCUCCCGAAGGUUGAUAGACCGUUUCCAGGGACAGUUAUAACUUUUAUUGAUGCAGAUUAUCCUUCGGAGCCCAUCGAACCCCAUGAAGGAGCACUGGUGAUCAUGGCACAAGUGGGUUCGGUAGACAUGAAACGGAUGAUGAUAGACAACGGGUCUUCCGUGGAUAUUCUGUAUGCCCAUGCUUAUCAGAGGAUGCAUCUUGAUGGGCGAAAGAUGGAAGUGGGUCAGGAGGCUCCUUUAUAUGGCUUCAGCAAUGAUCCGGUUAAAGUGGCAGGAACUAUUGAGCUACCAGUCAUCUUCGGUACCGCUCUACAACAGGUAGAAAUAACUUGUAAAUUCUAUGUUGUGCAUGUAGAUUCGGCCUACAACGCCAUAUUGGGACGACCUACUUUGACAGCUCUGCAAGCUGUGACUUCCAUUCCUCAUUUUAAGAUCAAGUUCCCAACAACACAUGGAGUUGGGGAGGUAGCGGGAGACUUGGAUCUGGCCAGACGAUGCUAUCAGAACGCUAUGAUAGCUUCGGGAGUAGGUGUCAGCAAGCAGAAGUAGACCAUGGCGAUAGAAAUCGAGCCAUUUACCGAAAGCAGUUCGGAGCCAUUUGUUAUGCCUGUAGGAGAAACGGAGGAGAUCGAGCUGGUUCUUGGGAAGAAGGACAAAACAAUGAAGAUAGGUUCGGGUCUGCCGGAACCCCUUCGGACAAACCUUAUGGAACUUCUUCGCUGUUAUGUGGAUAUUUUUGCAUGAGAGCCUCAGGACAUGUCGGGAGUCAGCCAAAAGAUUGCUGAGCACCGGUUGGACGUAGAUCCUUCAAAGAAGCCAAUUCAGCAGAAAAGGCGUAUUUUUGCACCUGAGCGUCAGAGGAUCAUUGAUGAAGAGAUUGCAAAGCUGAUAGCUGCUGACUUCAUCUUUGAAAUAGAUUACCCGAAGUGGAUGGCCAAUGUGGUGCUGGUGCAGAAGCAGAAUGGAAAGUGGCGAGUAUACAUCGACUACACAGACCUGAACAAAGCUUGCCCGAAGGACUUCUAUCCUCUACCUCACAUUGAUUAACUUAUCGAUGCGACUUCGGGGUAUGCACUACUAAGAUUUAUGGAUGCUUUUUCAGGUUAUCAUCAAAUUUCUAUGUGCAAAGAGGAUAUUCUGAAGACAACUUUCAUCAUGCAUCGUUCGAUGUACGCUUACAAGAAAAUGACAUUUGGCUUAAUCAAUGCUGGAGCCACUUAUCAAAGAAUAAUGACUUUGUCUUUCAAAAGCAGCUAGGAAGGAAUAUGGAGGUAUAUGUGGAUGACAUGAUAGUGAAAAGCAUGAUCGUUCAGAAGCACUUGGAUGAUCUUGAGGAAUGCUUUCAGACGGUUCGUCAUCACAAAUUAAGGCUUAAUCCCACCAAAUGCACUUUCAAACUCGGUGCAGGGAAAUUCUUAGGUUAUCUGGUCAGUCAGAGAGGCAUUGAGGCCAAUCCAGAGAAGAUCCAGGCUAUUCUGAACAUGAAGACUCCUCAGUCAUUCAAAGAUAUUCAGCGUCUGACAGGGAGGAUUGCAUCUUUGAGGAGGUUCAUGUCCAAGUCAGCAGAGAGGUGUUUGCCGUUCUUUAGCACGUUGAAAGGAUCGAAGAAUGCCAAGACGUUCCAAUGGAAUUCAGAAUAUGAAGAUGCUUUCCAAGGCAUAAAGACGCAUUUGUCUUCGGCACCUUUGCUGGUGAAGCCAGUUCCUGCUGAACCACUGUAUCUGUAUCUGGCAGCUAGUUCGUUGGCGGUGGGAGCAGUGCUGGUUCGAGAAGUUGGGGGGAAGUAGCAUCCAGUUUACUAUGUCAGUCAUGUUCUAAGGGAUGCUGAAACCAGGUACCCAAAUAUUGAAAAUUUUGCCUUUGCUUUGAUAAUAGCCAGUCGAAAGCUUAGGCAAUAUUUUCAAGGUCGAUUCUUGGUCGUUUACACGGAUCAACCGCUGAAGAAGGUGAUGAGCAAACCAGAAGUUUUGGGGAGAUUGGUUGCAUGGACAAUGAAAUUGUCCCAAUUUUUCAUCGAAUUUCAUCCCCGAACAGCUAUAAAGGGGAAAGCCUUGGCUGAUUUUAUGGUGGAGUGUUCAUUUUCCGAAGCUGAUGCAGAGUUGCCAAAGGCUGAAGUGUCCGACCGAGCAGUUGUAGUUCUUCAGCACAACCAGAGUUCGUGGACGCUGUAUGCAGAUGGAUCUUCAACUACGGAUGUCAGUGGAGCAGGGAUUAUCUUGACAAGUUCGGAGGGAUUCAAGGUGCAGCAGGCCAUCAGAUUUGGGUUCAGAGCAACGAACAACGAGGCAGAGUACGAAGCAGUGCUAGCGGGAGUUCGACUGGCGAAGAGUCUCGAAGUUCAGAAGUUGAUCAUCUAAAAUGACUCUCAGUUGGUCGUCAAGCUGGUUUCAGGGGAGUAUGAAGCUCGAGGUUCAAGGAUGAUCAAGUAUUUGGCCGAGUUGAAGGAUCGACUUCAAUAUUUUCUCUCCUAUGAGUUUCAGGGUGUAGAUCACAAUGACAAUUCUAUUUCCGAUGCAUUGUUGAAGUUGGAUACUACAGAUGCCAACAAUUUUGAUGGGUCAGUUUAUUUGGAGGUUCUGCAACAGCUGAGUAUUCAGCAUGAAGCCGUGAUGUGCAUUGAACGUUCUAACUGUUGGAUGACUCCCUAUAUAGAAUAUCUGGCAGAUGGCAUCCUUCCUUCGGAUCAGAUGCUAGCAAAGAAGAUCAAGUAUAAGAGCGCUAAUUUUGUUCUCAUUGAUGGAGAUCUUUAUCGAAGGGCUUUUUCAUCACCUUUGUUGAAGUGUCUAGUUCUAUCUGAAGCCGAAUAUGCUCUUCGAGAGGUUUACGAGGGCAUCUAUGGCGACCAUAUGGCUGCUAAGUCAUUAGCCUUCAAAGUACUUCGACAGGGAUUCUACUGGCCUACUAUCUUCAAGGAAGCUACAGAGUACGUGAAGAAGUAUGAAAAGUGUCAGCUCAAUAGCCCAAUCCCGCAUCAGCCACCAGAAGAGCUAUACUCGAUCUUAUCUCCUAUACCCUUUGCUGUCUGGGGGGGUAGAUAUACUGGGUCCAUUGUUGAAAGAUAAGGGUCGGGUCAGUUUUGUUAUAGUCGCUAUUAAUUAUAUGACCAAAUGGGUAGAAGCGAAGCCACUUAGGUUGAUAACGGAACAAGAGUGCUUGAAGUUCAUGGAGGAGUCAGUAGUGUUUCAUUUCGGAAUUCCUAAGGUGGUGAUAUCGGACAACGGAUGCCAAUUUGUGGGAUCGAAGUUUGAAGGAUUUCUGAAGGAGUUGGGAAUUCAACAUAGAAAGACUUCGGUGGCUCAUCCACAGUCGAACGGGCAGGUCGAGGUGACCAACAGAACGCUGCUGAAUGGGAUCAAGCGCAGACUGGAUGAAGCUAAGGGGAGAUGGCCUGAAGAGCUUCUCAGCGUGUUGUGGGCUUAUCGAACUACUCCGAGGACCACUACAGGGGAUUCACCUUUCAGACUGGCCUAUGGUACUGAUGCCUUAGUCCCAGUUGAAAUUGGAUCUCCAAGUCUUCGGGUUAGUUAGUUCAAGGAGAUCUACAAUGAUGAAGGACUGAAAGUCAACAUGGAUCUGUUGGAAGAAGUCAGAGAGACAGCUUUGAUCAGAUUGGUAACCUAUCAGCGAAGAGUGGCUAAACAUUACAAUAAGGGGGUAAAACUUCAUAGAUUUGAAGUGGGAGAUUUUGUCCUCGGGGAAGUCGAAGCUUCUACACCUCAGAACUUGGAAAAGCUGAUGCCGAACUGGGAAGGACCGUAUGAAGUAGUUGAAGUUCCGAAGCCAGGAACUUAUCGGUUAAGGGCAUUGGACGGAUCCGAGAUCAAGAACACUUGGCAUGCUGGUAGAGUUCAGAAGUAUUUUCAGUAAAGAUCGAGUCAGUAUCCCGGAAGUCUGUAAAUGUUGGAUCAUCAUCAAUAAAAUAUUCACUUUUUCACAAUUGAUCUUCUUCCUAUUGGUUCUAAAUUCACAAUGGUGUAAAGAGGACGGGGUGGACUCGCUGACCAUUCGAUGGUAGCCUUUUUGGCAGGUGUUCCUUAUAAAUUUGUCAGGCCCUUCGUGGUAGGCAAACUUCAUCGGUGUAAGAAGGACGAGGUGGACUCGCUGACGAUUCGAUGGUAGCCUUAUCGGCAAGAGUGUUCUCAUGGGUUUGUUAUACCCUACGUGGUAGACAAAUUCCAUAGUCCUUUUAUGAUUUGUUUUACACCCCGAGUGGUAAACAAAUGCACCGAAGUAAGGAGGUUCGGUUGGACUCGCUGACCAUUCGAUGGUAGCCCUAUUGUUAGGUGUGUCCUAUUGAAUUUGUUCUACCCCGAGUGGUAAAUAGAUGUCCUUAUAUACUUGUUUCACCCCGAGUGAUAAACAAGAUCCUGAUGGUGCAAGGAGGAUCAGCCGAAUUCACCUUAUGCCUAAUCUGUCUCACACUUCGGUAACGAUAAGUAUGCAUUAUUUUAUUUUGUUCAAGUGUUGAGUUCGGUUCAUUAUGUCCGGUAUAUGAUAUUCUUUAACUUAAUUGAUUAUAUGAUCUGUUUGCUUACCUGGUUCACAAAUUUAAGUUAAGUUCAAACGCAUCUUAUACAGUUUUGAAGUUGAUUGAUGCUGAAUUAUUGACAAGAAAUGAACUAUACUGAAGUCAUAAGGAGUAAAGUUAACUAUUCAUUAAUACUUAACCGAUUACAUCAAAAAGGAUGAAAAUUCUUUACAAGAUAAACUUAAAUCUAGGAAGAAGUGAUAAACUAUUUCAGGCAUCAUCCUCGCCUUCAGAAGAGUACAGAAGAGCUGGGUCUAGAUGGGCUACAAUCAACUUUUCCUUGCCCCGACCUCUGCAAACUUCAUAACCCUCAGAAUAUACCUUUAGAACUUCUGCAUUCAGCUCAUCGGACUUCCGAUAUUCUUCUUGGAUUUGUUUACGCAGUUCUUCGGUCAGAGGAGGGCUUAACUCCUCUAAUGCCUUUAGUUUAUCUUGAAGCUUGCGACGUCUGGCCAAGUGUCUUUCUUUAUCAUCUCGAGCCUUCUCCUGGAGUUCAUCAACUCGUUUGGCCAAACUCAGAUUGGUUGUAGCCAUUUUUUCAUUUUUUGUCUUCAGAACCUCGUUCUUUUCAACAAGAUUGAUGUUCAUAUUGGUCAGAUCUUGUUGGCUGGCCUUAGUUGUCUUCAGCUCUUCUGUGAACGAGUUCAGUUCUUCCUUGGACGAUUUAAGCUCUUCCUUGGUCUGAGUUAAAUCCUUUUGAAGGCAUUCAUUGUUGAAGAGAGAAAUAUCACAGUCAUGUCUUGCCUUCGCCAUCGCAGACUGUAAUAUUACAUUCUCUUUUCUAGCCGCUUCUUCUGCGGCUUCGGAUUCAAGAUGUUUAGGGCGUAAACGCCCAAAAAUAGCAUUGGCCUGUACAUGUUCAGAAUUAUUUAAUCAAUCUCAGAUAUCUAACCUAAGCAUGAAAAGGAGUAUGAAGAUUGGGGAAGAUCUUUACCUGCGCUAUAUAGCUCAUGCCUUCAUCAAGUAGAUCCCCGAUCGAGCUGUUGCCAAAUCGAUGAUCGUCGGUUUCCCGAACAAACGAAUUGAAGAGCUGGAAGGGAAAGUUGGCAUUAAAUCGGGGCCAUAGAGUUGGCGAUGCCAUUGCUUCAUUUUGGAACUCGUAGGAUGAAGGUCCUAGGGGAGUGGGUAUGGGUUGAUCACGAGGUGGUGAUGGAUCCAUAUAUACAUUCUCAGGAGAUGGAGAUCGAAUUGGAGUAGGUUCUCGAGGUGGUGAUGGAGCAGACGUUGAAUUUGGGUGACUAUCUGAGGGAUGUUUUCUCUUUCGAGACAAUGCUGGAACAGGUUCGACUUGCUCUUCAUCAUCAGAGACAUGUAUCUCCACAAGGACUACAGGAGUUGGAUUAGCUGAAGAUGAAGGCACUCGAAGUUCAUCGGUUGUCAGAGGGGUGACUUUGGUUCUUAAUUUUUUGACUCGAAGGAGUCGUUUCCGAUCGUCUACGGGUAGAUCGAGUAAACUCCCUCGGCCAGAGGUUGGAUUGGUAGUUGGUGCAGGUUCUGGGAUAGUUUCAAUUUCUGGGAUUGUUUCAGGUUCUAUUGGUGUUGGUUUGGAUCUAGGUUUUCGGAUACCUCUCUUUUUUCGGUGUGGUUGAAGGGAUUCUUCUAGGGGAAUGAGGUCAUCGGCUUCUGGCUCAUUUAUUUGAGGUUCAGAAGUAUGUGUUUCAAGGGUUGGAUUGUCUUCGGGUGCAGCUUCUAUCAGGGGAGUUUCAGCAGCUUCCGAAGAUUUUCCAGACAGAAAAUCUUUCAAGUCUUUCACAUCCGAGGAUGUUUGCUUAAUCAAAGACACUGCAAAAGUCAAAAAGUCAUAUGUCAGAAUCUACAUCACUUCAAAUUUCAAAUAAUUGCACAACAAAAUAAUUCAGAACUUACAUUUGUGUUCAUCCAACCAGGCUUGCUUAGUAAGAAGCAGGUAAUUCCAUUCCUUUGACGGGAAGUUCUCGAACAGUUCUAUCAUUUCACUCACAUGUUCCUCUGGGAUGUCACCAAAGUCGGCAGAAACUACGUCAUCAGUGGCCCAGUUCGGCAAGGAGGCAAUCUCUGGUCCCUUAAUGAAGAACCACCCUUUGUGUCAUCCUUUGUUGCUAGAUGGGGUGGAGACCAACGAGCGUCUGCCAAAUUUCUCUCCUAACUUCGGAGAUUGUUUACCCAUGACCUUAAACCCCUUUUCUCGGGAUUGGCUGACCUUGUAGAUAGUGAAGAAGAAAUCGAGAGUGGGCUCUACUCCAACUUCAUGACAGAAUGCGAUGAAGGCCAGAAUAUGGAUGUAGGAGUUCGGUACCAACUGGGCGAACCCAACGCCAAUAAACCCUAGGAGGGUUAUUAUGAAUACAUGAAGAGGGAAUCGAACCCCCUUCUCAAGGAUGGUCACAAGAAUGGUCGUCCAACCUUCUGGCCUUUGAUACAUUCUCUCGCCGGAUCUAGGGGCUCUUACCAUGUGGGUGUCCGGAAUAUGAUAUCGAGUUCGAAUCCUUUUCAGUUCAAUUUCAGUAACGGUUGAUGGAGUGUUAGCAUGAGCAUAGCGUUCUGUACUCCUAUAGAAUUCAGAGGGGGUAGGAGAGGUUUUUGGAGGUGGGUUCUUGCUUGGAUUUGCAGUUUUGGGGUUCGAACUCGAGGCUUCUUUGUUAGGGCUUGGGUUAGGCAGAACGGUGGUGAUUGGAGUCACAGAAGAGGUGAACCUUGCUCGAAAUCUUGAGAAGCCAUGGAUAUCGAGUUGCAGUAAGGAGAAGAGAGUUCGAAGGAGAAGACAAAGAACUCAAGGGUCAGAAAUUCAAAUUGACAGGUAAAACUAUCAAUUUAGGGGAAAUUAUCUUUUAUACUAACGGUUACACAGUACACGAGGGCAGCACAUUAAUUGACAGUCAUAAUCAUGAAUUUGGAGGGGUAGCGUCCAAGAGAAGUUUUGAUAUUUAACCGGUUUGGGUCUUUCAUUUGGGCUUUCGGUUUUAGUUCAUCUUCUUAUUUUAAUUCAUUUUCGUUUGGGCCUUAAUGAAUUUCGUUUUGGGGGUCUUUCAAUCCUAUUUGAUUCUUCAUAUCAUGGACCAUUUAUUUUUUUCUAUUAAACACCUUGUUUAAUAAAAAACUAGGGGGCAAUGUUGGGUCAUGAUAUUUCACCUACUGGGCCGAAUGGAUUGGGCCUACGUAUUUGGUUAUUCUCUUGGGUCAUUAUUAUUGGGCCUUGUUAUUAGACUAAUUCAUUGGAUUAUCUUGAUUGGGUCUUACAAAGUCUUGGGCCGAAUUAUUGAACCGACCCAUUAGAUAAUUUAAAUAUCUACAUCUUUGAGUUGCAAUGAUGGAAAAAGAUAACGGUUGGCCGAGAUCUCUGCCAUCCAUUAAUGUGGAUGGGAUUAUAGUCGGCCGACGGUGGUGAACAGUGAUAGUAUGUAGUGGGUGAGCUGCAUGCAGUCGGAUGAGACCGUUAGAUUCAGUGGAUAGACGUCAGAUAGCAGUAGAAGGCAUGGUUAACCGGGCAGGAGAGUAUAACAUAGCAAGGAAGUCAUCCAAGUAAAGGUAACUGAUAAUUUUAUCUUUCUCAAUACACUAGAUAUUUUAUCCUCCAUUGUUAGCCUUGUGAUCGCCUAUACUGACUCUUACGCCUGAGCUAUCCCCCGACGGUCGAAGCCGUCAAGAUUUUGGUGUUGAUCGUGUUUAUUGUGCAGGAUCAGGACGUCUUACGUUAUUGGGACAUAGCAGAAGAUCUUGGUAUUAACACUAAGUAUGUUUCGUACAUACGUUAAAACUAGUGCUAAGACACUUAUUCUCUUCUAUGAUAAUCAUGUGUUAGGUAUUUUUCUUUUCAUUGACGUUGAUGAAUUUCUGGUUUUGGAUUAAUUAAUUCUCAGGUUUAAUUGAUGCAUAAGUUUGAAAAAAGGUUAAUUUUGUCUAACAAAAACUUAAAAACAUCACAAGUAAUUAAAUUUUAGAGAGAGUGUGUGUAUAAAAGUUUUAGAGAGAGAAGUUAAAAGGAAGAUAUAAAAAAUAAAUUUAAAGUAAUUUAUUUAAUUGGACCAUAAUAAAUUAAUAAUGGUAAGCUUGAAAUUUGAAAUACGUGUUUACCUAUAUUUGACCCAUAACUAUAUAGUUUCAACCCACAUAAUUCAUAAUUAUAUAAUUCCAACCCACAUAAUCCAUAAUUAUAUAAUUUCAACCCACAUAAUUCAUAUUAAAAAUAAGUAAUAUGGUUUUAAUUCUUAAAUAGAAUCAUAACUAAAUUAUAUAAACCAAAAUUAACCCAUUACCAUACCUACGUAUAUAGAAAAUAAUAAUAUUGUGUAACUUAUUUGGAAUUCAUAAUGAGCUACCGCAACAGAAUUGAUCUUUCUGAAUGACCAAAUUACUACUCCCUUAAUGCCUUAAAUGUUGGCUUGAUGAGAAACCUUCAAUAGCCUUCCUAGUAUUAUGAAAAUUGGUAUGUGUAUAGAAUCAAGGGGGAUGACAUAGUUCUUUAUUUAUAAUAAUUCUGAUUAGCAAUCCUAGUGAAACUACUUAUCACAAUCUCAAAAUGUUAUUUAAAUAACUCAUACUGGUCAAUCUAUAACGCUCCCAAAAUAAGUAUACAUCAUCUAUUUUGAGUCGUCAAAUACAUGGUACAAAAUACAAAUACAAACUUAAUUAUAGAACAUGAGCUGAGAGUUUUUACACGAAUAUUGUCUUCUAGACAAUAUCUAAACUCAAAUGGAGUCCUCAUUAUAAUUAUUAUCACAUUAUUUCAUAGAAUAGUGAGUACUACUACAACACCAUCUCAAAUCAUUACUCCGUUCCCCGACAAGUCCCGGCUACGUUUUCAUUUCCUGAAGAGAACAAUGAAAGCAAAAGGGUGAGCUCAACUAGCCAGUAAGAAAUAUUAUGACUAAGUUAAUACAGAAUAAAUUAUCGUUAGCCUUCAACAGUGUUAAGCUGAUAAAAUACAAUAAACAUCAAGUUUAACUGCAGCGGAACAAGCAAUCCAUUAGAAGAGUAAAGUAGAGCAUGAUAUCUACUAUCUUCUAUGAUUUAAAAAGGUUAUCAUCAAUUUUAUCGUUGAGACUCAGCUUAAUAAAUAAUCCACAUCACUAAAUUAUCCAUGCACUACGGGCCAAUGAGGACUUUUACCACAUUAUAUGUAACAUUACGGUCAUGAUUAUACUGAAUAAUCCCUGGUCAUAAUCAUACUAAUCAACAGUACAUCUAUGCACUACGACCAAAGAUGACUUUCAUCACAAUAUAAGCAUGAGGAUGAUGACAAUGAUACAAGAAUUCAAUUAAAUAAAAGCAAAGAUAAAUUUUAAAGAUUUAUAAUUUAAUUUAUCCAGAAUUCAAUAGCGCCCAAAUUGUCAACAUGAUACUGCUUUGUGGAGUAAAUUAUUAUAUCAAAAAUAAUUUGGACAGAGAAGAAAUUAAUUUUUGUCAUGAAUAGUACCUGAGUGAAUAGUACCCCAUGAAUAGUACUUUAUAAAUAGUACUUCGGAAAUAGUACUUUAUGAAUAGUACCCCGUGAAUAGUAUUUUGUGAAUAGUACCUCGUGAAUAGUACUUUGUGAAUAGUGCCCUAUGAAUAGUACUUUGUGAAUAGUACCCCGUGAACAAUACUCCAACAUGAAAAGAUUAAAAAUUAUCAAAAAUGUUCAGAAAAAUAUCCUUCUGAAAUGAUACUAGAUGAAGCGCAAAUUUCAAGGAUAUUCUACUAAUUUCACGGAAUAUAGAAUCAAUACUUUAACAAAAUGAGUGUAGAAGUAGGUGUAAGACCCCAAAUUUUAUAAAUAAAAUUGAAUUUCCUCUAUUUAUUAUUUUGAAAUAAUAAGGUGUUAAUUUGAUAUAAUACUUUGGUUAUGGGUGAAAUGAACAAAUUUUGCAAAAUAAGCAAGUAGUUAUAAAAUAUUCAUUGUUGUCGGGGAAUAUUCGUUUGGUCGUGAAAUAUUCUUGUUGUCACGAAAUAUUCGUACGACGGCGCAGCCAUUUGUGGGCCCUAUAACGUAAAACGUUCAGAUGAAGACAAAUGAAUAUUUGGUUCAAGAUGUAUAUUGAUUGAUGUUUCAGGGAUAAAAUAUUGAUGAUGGACUUUAAAAUCAUAGAAGACAUUAGAUUUUAUUCUCUACUAAACUCUUCUAAUGAAUUGUUAUUUUCGCUGUGAAUAUUGAUCUAAAACUUGUUGUCCAUUAUAUUUUAUCUGAUUUGUUGAAGGCUAACGAUAAUUGUUGUUCAUUAUCUUAGUCAUAAUAUUCUUUACUGGGCUAGUUGAGCUCACCCUUUUCCUUUUUGUUCCAUUUUUUUCUCAGGAGGCGAGAAUAUAACGGGAACUAGUCGGGGUAUGGAAUGAUGGUUCUAGACAGUUAUUUUAGCAGUUCUCACUAUUUUUGUAAAAUAGUGUAUCAAUAAUUAUAAUGAGGACUUAUUUGAGUGUGGAUAUUGUCUAGAAGACAAUAUUUGUAUUUAAACUCACAGUAUAUGUGUUAUCAUAUUUUGCACGACAAUUGUAAUAAUAAAGUUGUAGUUGUUUUCUGUACCAUGUUUUUGGCGACCAAAGAUGGGUGAUGUAUACCUAUUUUGGGGGCGUCACAGUUGGUAUUAGAGCUUAGGGAUAUGGUCUCUGGCGGAGAUAGAACUAGGAGGGGAGAGACGAGUAAAUCCUUCGCUAGUGUGUCCUACCUAAGCUUAUUUGUUGGUUGGUCAGAAUAUAGGGGUAUUAUGUGGUAUGUUAUUUUCUUUAAUUAACCCUUGUUUUGUGGCAAUAUUUGAGAAUGGUAGCUGGAAAUGUUAACAACGGAGUAAAUGAGACCGUGGAGACACCUUUAAUCACCAACCAGGAGAACGUGCAACAGGACGACAAUGUUCCUCUUGUAAACAACACCACCGAUCAAAUGAUGAAUGAUGGAUGUUUAGAAGCUUUUUUGCAGUUCAUGCAAAAUCAGACGAGGGAGACUCGUGAACAAAAUACGGGUGAAAAUGAUAGCAACGCGCGGCUUGUCACAGCCAAGUAGUUCAAAGAGUUGGGACCACAAGAGUUUUUGGGAAAGCCAAAUCCGAUUAAGGCAAAAACGUGGGUUAAGAAAAUUUCAAGAUAUUUGAUGUCUUGGGAUUCAUAGAGGAAUAGAAGGUUCUAUUCUCCACCUUUAUGUUCCGUGGUUAGGCAGAUUACUGGUGGGAAUCUGUGAAGCAUACCCAGCCAGCCGCACUCAAUAUAUCUUGGGAAAUAUUUUAGAAACUGUUUAAUGACAAGUACUUUCCUGAAAGUAUUCGUCAUAUGAAGGAGGUAGAGUUUAUUAGACUGGAACAGAACAACAUGACUGUGUCCCAGUACGAGGCUAAUUUUGCGGAGUUAUCCAGGAUUGCACCUCAUUUGGUAGAGAAUGAGGAACGUAUGACGCGGAUGUUUUUAAGAGGGUUGAAACCCAAAAUUUAUCAGUACCUUAUUUCUCACAAAUUUUCUCUAUAUUCAGAUGUUGUUAACAAGGCUCAAUUAUUAGAGUGAGAUAAUGAGUAUGUUCAACCGAGGGCAGCAGUCAUCAGAGCAAUGAUAACCAGCGGGAAGGAAAAAAUACGGACAAAAGCGAUAACCACUCUGGUGGUAAUCAUGGCCAUGAUAGUAGAAGAAGCGAGUCGAGGGGAGAUUUCAAAAAGAGAAGGUACAACAAUGACAAUGUGAAGACGUCAGCAUCAACAUCAACUGUUUCUAGGGGAGGAGAACGACCACCGGUCGUAUGUUAUAAAUGCUGGAAAGAGGGACACAUCAGCCCAAACUGCCCACAACAAUUCAAGGUAUGUUAUAACUGUGGAAAGGAAGGUCAUAUAGCUCGAGAUUGUUCUAUAGAAAAACCAAGUCCAGCGAGGAUGGUGAUUCCAAAGGCUGUCCCGGACAAGUAAAAGUCAACGGUUCCUGAAAGAACGUUUGUCGUGACUGGCCAAAACGCGAGGAGCCCAAACGAGGUGAUCACGGGUAAGCUAAUUAUAAACUCUUGCGAAGUUAAUACCUUAUUAGAUACCAUUUCUACCCAUUCUUUUAUCUCUCUUUCUUGUGCUCAACGUUUGAACUUAACUCCGGAGAAAUUAGACUUUGACUUAUCUAUUGAGACUCCGUUAGGAGAAACUUUCAUUACACUCACUGUUUAUAAAUCUUUCUUGAUCCAAGUUAGCAUAAUCACAUUACCUGUUGAUCUUAUCUCUUUAAAGAUACUUGCAUUUGAUGUGAUUUUAGGAUUGAUUGGUUAAGAUCUCAUCAUGCUAAAAUUGAUUAUUUUCGUAAGGUUGUUAGUUUUCAUAUUCCUAACCAACCUGUUAUGCCAAUUCAAGCGACCAAACUGCUAAAUUUAAUCACUGUCAUAUCAAGCCAUAAAUCCAUUCGUUUAUUAAAAAAUGGAUGUCAAGCUUUCUUAGCCCAUGUCAUGGACUUGAACAAAAACACGUCAGAUUUGAAUAAUAUUUCUGUUGUUAGUGAAUUUCUUGACGUAUUUCCUGAAGAACUUCCUGGUCUACCCCCAGAACGUGAAGUUGAAUUCUUUAUUGACCUUGAACCUGGUACAAAACCCAUUUCUAAAACCCCAUAUAGAAUGGCUCCUAUUGAAUUUCAGGAGUUAAAGGUCUAACUACAGGAGUUGUUAGACAUCGGUUUCAUUCGUCCUAAUACAUCUCCUUGGGGUGCUUCUGUUUUAUUCAUAAAGAAGAAAGACGAGAGUAUGCGACUUUGUAUUGAUUACCGGGAAUUGAACCAUGUCACCAUCAAUAAUAGGUAUCCGCUAUCUCGCAUUGAUGACCUAUUCGACCAGUUGCAAGGAGCACAAUUCUUUUCAAAGAUCGAUCUUCGUUCUGGAUAUCAUCAGCUGAAGAUUAAAACUGAGGAUAUUCCGAAGACUGCCUUCAGAACUCGGUACGGGCAUUAUAAAUUCUUAGUCAUGUCUUUUGGAUUAACUAAUGCUUCUGCUGCUUUCAUGGAUAUGAUGAACCGUGUGUUCAAGGAAUAUUUGGAUUAGUUCGUUGUUAUCUUUAUUGAUGAUAUCCUCAUCUAUUCCAAAAGCCGUAAAGAUCAUGAGCACCAUUUGAAGCUGGUACUUCAAAGGUUUUGUGAAAAUAAGCUAUAUGCCAAGCUGAAGAAAUGCAACUUUUGGUUUGAGGAAGUAGCAUUCCUUGGGCAUGUGGUGUCAAAACAUGGAGUAUCUGUUGACCCGACGAAGAUUGAAGCAAUACAAAGUUGGGAACAACCGAAGUCGGUGACCGAAGUACGUAGCUUUCUGGGCUUAGCCGGUUAUUAUCUUAGAUUUAUGGAAGGAUUUUCUCGAAUUGCUACUCCGUUAACUCAGCUGACUCAGAAAGAUACAAAAUUCGUAUGGAGUGAGGAAUGCGAGAAGAGUUUCCAAGAGCUCAAGAGGAGACUCAUUUCGGCACUUGUUCUAUAAAUACCAUCUAGUUCGGAUGGAUUUGUUAUCUACAGUGAUGCUUCAGGCAAAGGGUUAGGAUGUAUUCUCAUGCAACAUGGGAAAGUUACAGCCUAUGCCUCGCAACAACUCAAAGAAUAUGAGAGGAAUUAUCCUACUCAUGAUCUGGAGUUGGCAGCAAUCGUUUUCUAGUUGAAAAUUUGGAGACACUACUUGUAUGGGGAGAAAGUGGAGAUUUAUACGGAUCAUAAAAACCUCAAAUAUUUUUUCACCCAAAAGGAACUCAACAUGCGACAACGACGUUGGCUCGAGCUAUUGAAAGAUUAUGACCAUACCAUUCAAUAUCAUCCUGGAAAAGUAAACGUGGUAGCUGACGUAUUGAGUAAAAGAUCGUUUACGGGUACGAGUGCGAUGUUUUUAACACAAAGACCCAUUUUGUAAGACUUACAAAGGAUGGGGAUAGAGUUAAAGGCUCCAAGUGCCCAUAUGAUGAUAUCAAACAUAUGAGUAGAACUGACUUUAAUCGAUAAAGUUAAAGCUGCUUAAGCCACAGACCCAGAGUUGAUGCUUAUGAAGAAGAAAGUACAAGAAGGUGUUAUUCUAGAAGCAAUAAUCGAUGAAGAAAGAAUACUUUGAGUCAACUCCAGACUUUUCAUUCUUAACGAUUCUGACUUAAAGCAUAGAAUCAUGAUGGAGGCACACAACACACCAUUUUCAAUCCAUCGUGGGAGUACCAAAAUGUAUCAUGAUCUUCGAUAUACAUUUUGGUGGAACAAUAUGAAGAGAGAUAUCGCGGAGUUUAUCUCGAGGUGUUUAACUUGUCAACAUGUAAAGGCGGAGCAUCAAGUGUCAAAGGGUCCAUUGCAACCACUUGAGAUUCUGAAAUAGAAGUGGGAACACAUUACCAUGGAUUUCGUAAUGGAUCUUCCCAAGGUUUCUCAAGGCAUAAAUGUGAUUUGGGUUAUUGUUGAUAGAUUAACCAAGUCUGCUCAUUUCUUGCCGAUACGGGAGACUUAUUCCCUUGAACGUCUUGCUCGUAUGUACGAGAAUGAGAUUGUGAGAUUGCAUGGCAUGACAGUAUCCAUAGUUUCGGAUCGUGACCCAAGAUUCACUUCAAGAUUUUGGGUUAGCUUGUAGAAAGCUAUGGGCACGGAUUUACGAUUCAGUUUGGCAUACCAUCCUCAAACGGACGGGCAAUCGGAAAGGACUAUUCAAACUCUUGAAGAUCUAUUAAGACUCUGUGUCCUAGAUUUAAAAGGAAGUUGGGAUAAAUACUUGUCAUUAGUGGAAUUCUCCUACAACAACAGUUAUCAAACAAGUAUAGACAUGGCUCCAUUUGAGGUGUUGUACGGACGAAAGUGUCGUUCUCCAGUAUGCUAGGACGAGGUGGGUGAAGCAAGGUUGUUGGGACCAGAAUUGGUACGCAUGACUACAGAAAAGAUCCAAACGAUUCGACAACGUAUACAAAUGACACAGGAUCGACAAAAGAGUUAUGCGGAUCUUCAUCGAAAGGACGUUGAAUUUAAUAUUAGGGAUCAUGUAUUGUUAUGUAUUGCUCCAUGGAAGGAAGUUACAAGAUUUGGGAAGAGAAGAAAGCUCAAUCCAUGAUUUGUUGGUCCAUUUGAGAUUCUUGACCGAAUAAGAAAUGUGGCCUAUAGACUCGUAUUACCUCCAAGCAUGUCUCGUGUUUAUAAUGUUUUUCACAUAUCUAUGCUUCAUAAAUAUGUGAAAGACCCAAACCACAUUAUUGAGUUAGAACCAGACGAGAUAGCCGAAGAUUUAACGUACGAGGAGGUACCUGUCAAGAUCUUAGAUAGGAAAGAGCAUGUCUUACGCACAAAGAUUAUACCAAAAGUCAAAGUUUUAUGGAGGAACCAUGCUAUUGAGGAAAUGACUUGGGAGUUGGAAUCAGAAAUGAAAGUGAGGUAACCUCACCUUUUCGAAACACCAGGUACAUACGUCAAUUUCGAGGACAAAAUUUUAUAAUGAGGGGAGGUUGUAAGACCCCAACUUUUAUAAAUAAAAUUGAAUUUUCUCUUUUCAUUAUUUUGAAAUAAUAAGGUGUUAAUUUGAUAUAAUUCUUUGGUUAUGAGUAAAAUGUGCAAAUUUUGUAAAAUAAGCAAGUGGUUAUAAAAUAUUCAUUGUUGUCGGGGAAUAUUCGUUUGGUUGUAGAAUAUUCUUGUUGUCGGGGAAUAUUCGUACGACGAUGAAUCCAUUUGUGGGCCCCAUAAUGGAAAACAGUCGGAUGAAGAAAACAACAAAUUUGAGUUUUUAUAAAUAAUGGCGUAGUUGUUACCAUUAACACUGUUGGAAUACCUGAUGGUUAAAGUACAGUAAUACGCGUGGUUGCACAGUAGCACACGGUAUUGCACAGUAUUUUUGGAUUAUUGAUUCUUACAUAAGAAGGCACUACUCAAUAAUUUUUACAGUAAUUACUGUUCAAUAUUUUAUUUUAUUGAUUCAUUAAUUAUUAAGUUGAUAUUUUAUAUUAUUGUUAAUUCAAUAAUUGUCACUGCAUAGUAUUUCCCAUUAUCAUAUCAAUAAUUUAUAUUAUUUGAAUAAUAUUAUUAGAUUUUAUUAUUGGCAAUGUCUAAGAAGUUCUAUCUAGGAAAGGGGUUUGGUCACCUAAUUGCGCGCCAGUAAGGAGAAAUCCUUAUCGGAAAGCCCCCUUCUUUCCUGGGAACGACCUGAUUGUCAUAAUUGUGAUUCUGUAAUAUUAUUUGUGAAUAAUUAAUUAUUGAUUUAUAUGAUAAGAAAAUAUUUAUUUUAUGUGGAUAUAAAUGAAGGAAUUAAUGCUGAGGUGUUUUAUCAGUAUUUUGUCAGAAUGAAGGUAUUAAAAAUCGUCCGUAUGUAAAUUUUGGUCAUUUUCUGCUUGGAAUUUGGAAAAAUUUUAUCCUACAAAGUUGUAGAGAAUUACAUUUCCUAUGGAAUGGACAUAAAAUUCGUAUUUUUCUAUGAAAAGGGCAAUUUAUUAUGAAUUAUUGAAGUUUUGGAAAUAAAUGUUUUUUAAUUAAAAAUAUGGGUGGGCCCUACUUUUGGUUGGUAUGAAAAUUCUGAAUUUGGUGGGCCCCACUGUGGUGUGCUGAUAUUUGAUCAAUUGUGGCGUGCGUGAAAAUUUUUGAUAAAAUAUUAUUUUAUUAAUUUAGUCUGCUUUGGCAUUCUAGCAUUUUCCUAUAACUAGGAUUCUUAGUUAGAAUUGAAAAUCACACCAGAAUCAGAAGUUUUCUUUCUCUAUAAUAUCGAGAGUAUUUUUGUGAGUAUUUAGAUACUUUGAGAGUUGCUAUUCAGUGCAAGUUCCUUCAGCAUUAUAUCUGAUAUUUCAGCUAGAAGUGCUAUUCUUUUGAGGUAAGGGAUAUUAUUUUCUUCGUAAAUGAUGUUAUUUCUUUCAAUAUCAUUAUACUGAAAUAUUAGUAUGAAUUUUAUUAUGAAAUUUUUACCUUUUCAUGUUGAGGUUACUAUUCACGAAUACGACACUAUUCACGUAUACGACAUUAUUUACAAAUACGAUACUAUUCACCAAAAAAUGAAAUUUUUUCUUCUUUGUCCCAGAUGGCUAUUAUGGUUACUAUCUUUGAUUGUAUCCAUGUUUUGAUCUUUAUUAUUGAAUUUUUCUCCACUAUGGUUUAUUAUGGAGUAUUUUUGAAUUUGGAUUAUCUAAAGUACGAAUCCCUAAUCUUUGUCCGUUAUUCUCAAUGGAUUCGUUCUUUAAAAUAUUUUUCAUCAUCCUCAGUCUUUAAUGGUGAUACUUGAUGAAUAUCUUUGGCCUGUAGUACAAAGAUGAAUGAUUACCUAAUGAAUAUAUUUGACCCAUAGUGCAAAGAUGGACAGGUGUUGAGAUGAACAUGACCAACUGUUGAUACAAAUGAAUAUCUUUGGCCCGUAAAACAAAGAUGAAUAUUUGGUUCAAGAUGUAUAUUGAUUGAUGUUACAGGGAUAAAAUAUUGAUGAUAAACUUUUAAAUCAUAGAAGACAUUAGAUUUUAUUCUCUACUAAACUCUUCUAAUGAAUUGUUAUUUCCGCUGCGAAUAUUGAUCUAAAACUUAUUGUCCAUUAUAUUUUAUCUGAUUUAUUGAAGGCUAACAAUAAUUUAUUGUUCAUUAUCUUAGUCAUAAUAUUCUUUACCGGGCUAGUUGAGCUCACUAUUUUCCUUUUUGUUUCAUUUUUCUUCUCAGGAGGCGAGAAUAUAGCGGGAACUAGUCGGGGUAUAGAAUGAUGGUUCUAGACAGUUGUUUUAGCAUUCCUCACUAUUUUUGUAAAAUAGUGAAUCAAUAAUUAUAAUGAGGACUUAUUUGAGUGUGGAUAUUAUCUAGAAGACAAUAUUUUUAUUUAAACUCACAGUAUAUAUGUUAUCGUAUUUUGCACGACAAUUGUAAUAAUAAAGUUGUAGUUAUUUUCUAUACCAUAUUUUUGACGAUCCAAGAUGGGUGAUGUAUACCUAUUUUGGGGGCGUCACAGUAGGAAUACAAACCAAAUAAUAUUACUUACAUACUACAGAGUAUGGAAAAAAUAUUAUUUCAUACGAGUAUUGAACAAAAAUAUUAUCCCUUACCUUAGAAGAAGACUGUAUACUAGAAUAAUGAAGUAGCAGAAUACUCUUCUUCUUUCUCUCUAUAGUUUCUCUCUUUAUAAUUUCUCUUGUGAGUCUUAAUGAAUUGGUGAGAAUGAAAGAAGAAUGAGCUUCUAUUUAUAGGAAAACAUAGUUUCGAUAAUUGCACGUUUUGGGGCUCGAAUUAUUAUAGUAUAUUAUUACCUUCAUCUUUUCCUCCAUUUUAAAUUUAGUCCUACAAGUAUUAUCAAACUUGCACCACCUCCCCUAAUAGUACAUGAAUGUGAAUCAAUACUUCCAUUCAUGUGAAUAAAUAGUUAUAUGCAUGUAAACUAAUAGCAAUUAAUUGCUCAUUUAUCCGAUUAAUUACCCGAUUGGUCAAUUUAACCUCCAGAAAUCAAUUAUUAUCGAAAUAAAUGUUGAUUUCCACUAACACUAAUAAUCCCAACACAAUGGAAAUAUCAAUUUUAUCUUUAAUCAACGCAAACUUAUUCAUCUUUAAUAUUAUAACUCAUAGUAUCUAACAACCAGAUCAUUCCCAGGAAAGAGGGGGCUUUCCGAUAAAGAUUUCUCCCUAUUGGCGCACAAUUAGGUGACAAAACCCUUUUCCUCGACAGAACUUUCUAGACAUCGUCAAUAAUGCAAAUAAUAAUAUGAAUAACUUUUAUAUCUCAAUUAUUGAUUUAAUAAUAUAAAAUAUUAUGCAGAUGAUACUGUGACAAUAAUUGAAUCAAUAAUAUGAGAGAUAUUAUGCAGUAAUUAUUGUAGCAAUAAUUGAGUAUAACUGAGUGACUUCUCACGUAAGCAUUAAUAAUCAAAGAUAUUGUACAAUACCGUAUGCUACUAUGCAACCACGCGUAUUACUGUAAUUUUACCACCAGGUAUUUCAACAGUUAACGGUAAAAUUUUCGUCGUUAAUUUUAUAAAAAUAUAUUUCUGUCAUUUUCUAACUCCGACAAUACAUCCAUUAUAAGACCACAACUUUUAUAAAUAAAAUUGAAUUUCCUCUAUUCAUUAUUUUAAAAAAAUAAGAUGUUAAUUUGAUAUAAUGCUUUGGUUAUGGGUGAAAUGUGCAAAAAUUUCAAAAUAAGCAAGUGGUUAUAAAAUAUUCAUUGUUGUCGGGGAAUAUUCGUUUGGUCAUGGAAUAUUCUUGUUGUCGGGGAAUAUUCGUUUGGUCAUGGAAUAUUCUUGUUGUCGGGGAAUAUUCGUACAACGGCGCAGCCAUUUGUGGGCCCCAUAACACAAAAACGGUCGGAUGAAGAAAAUGACAAGUUUGAGUUUUUAUAAAUUACGGGGUAGUUGUUACCGUUAACACUGUUGGAAUACCUGAUGGUUAAAGUACAGUAAUACGCGUGGUUGCACAGUAGCACAUGGUAUUGCACAGUAUUUUUGGAUUAUUGAUUCUUACGUAAGAAGGCACUACUCAAUAAUUGUUACAUUAAUCAUUGUUCAAUAUUUUAUUUUAUUGAUUCAAUAAUUGCUGCGUUGAUAUUUUAUAUUAUUGUUGUUUCAAUAAUUACCACUGCACAAUAUUUCCCAUUAUCAGAUCAAUAAUUCAUAUUAUUUGAAUAAUAUUAUUAGAUAACCUUAUUGGCAAUGUCUAAGGAAGUUCUGUCUAGAAAAGGGAUUUGGUCACCUAAUUGCGCGCCAGUAAGGAGAAAUCCUUAUCGGAAACCCCCUCUUUUCUGGAAACGACCUGGUUGUCAUUAUUGUGAUUCUGUAAUAUUAUUUGUGAAUAAUUAAUUAUUGAUUUAUAUGAUAAGGAAAUAUUUAUUUUAUGUGGUUAUAAAUGAAGGAAUUAAUGUUGAGGUAUUUUAUCAGUAUUUUGUCAGAAUGGAGGUAUUAACAAUCAUCUGUAUGUGGAUUUCAGUCAUUUUCUGUUUAGAAUUUGAAAAAACUUUCUUCUACAAAGUUGUAGAGAAUUAAAUUUCUUAUGGAAUGGACAUAAAAUUUAUAUUUUUCUGAUAAAGGGCUAUUUAUUAUGAAUUAAGUGGAAUGAAGAUAUCAAAUUGAUUUAGUUUUCGAAUUAAAUUUGAAUUCUUUUAUUUUUUUUUUCAAAAAACAUAUGUUAAUGGUGGGUGAGCAAAGGUUGGCUUUAAAAAGUCUUGUUUCAAAGUAGGUGGGCUACAAAUAAUGUGCGUAUGUAAAUUUUAUCAGUAAUGGUGGGCUGACAUUUCCCUAUAAAUAGGGUGCUUAGUUAGAAAUGAAAUCACACCAUAAUCAGAAGUUUUAUCUCUAUAAUAUCAAACGUAUUUUUGUGAUUAUUUAGAUAAUUUGAGAGUUGCUAUUCAGUGCAAGUUUUUUUCAACAUUAUAUCUGAUAUUCCAAUCAGAAGUACUGUUCUUUUGAGGUAAGGGAUUUUUUUUUUUUUUCAUAAAUGAUAUUAUUUCUUUCAAUAUCAUUAUACCAAAAUAUUGGUAUGAAUUCUUGUGGAAAUUUUACCUUUUCAUGUCUAGGCUACUAUUCACGUAUACGACACUAUUUACGUAUACGACACUAUUCACGAAUACGGUACUAUUCACAAGUACUAUUCACGAAGUAUGAUUUUUCUUGUGAAAUUUCUACCUUUUGGUGUCAGGGUUACUAUUCACGUACAACACUAUUCACGUAUACGACACUAUUCACGAAUAUGGCACUAUUUACUGAAAAAAUUAAAAUUUUUUUCUUUGUCCAAGUUGUCUAUUAUGGUUACUAUCUUUGAUUGUAUCCAUGUUUUGAUCUUCAUUCUUGAAUUUUGCUCCACAAUUAAUUAUUAUGGAGUAUUUUUGAACUUGGAUAAAGUAAAGUACGAAUCCCUAAUAUUUGAUCUUUUAUCUCACUGGAUUCGUUUUCUUUAAGAUAUUUUUCAUCAUCCUCAGUCCUAAAUGGUGAUAUAACUGAAUAUCUUUGGCCUGUAGUGCAUAGAUGAAUGAUUACCUGAUGAAUAUUUUUGGCGCGUAUUGCAAAGAUGGACAGGUGUUGAGAUGAACAUGACCAACUGAUGAAUAUCUUUGGCCUGUAGUGCAAAGAUGAAUAUUUGAUUCAAGAUGUAUAUUGUGACGCCCCCAAAAUAGGUAUACAUCACCUAUCUUGAGUCGCCAGAUACAUGGUACAUAAAUCAAAUACAAACUUAAUUAUACAACAGUCGUGUAAAAUACGACAAAACAUAGCUGAGAGUUUAAACAAGAAUAUUGUCAUCUAGAUAAUAUCCAUACUCAAUGGUGUCCUCAUUGCAAUUAUUAUCACAUUAUUCUGUAGAAUAGUGAAGACUACUAAAGCCAUUUAUCCUGGACCAUCACUCCAUUCCCCGACUCGUCCCAGCUAUAUUCUCAUUUCCUGAAGAGAACAAUGAAAGAAAGGGUGAGCUCAACUAGCCCAGUAAGAAAUAUUAUGACUAAGAUAAUGCAGAAUAAAUUAUCCUUAGCCUUCAACAGUAUAACAACUGAUAGAAUACAAUAGACAACAAGUUUUAGAUCAACAACUGCAGCGGAAAUAAGCAAUCCAUUAGAAGAGUCAAGUAGAGCAUAAAAUCUACUAUCUUCUAUGAUUUAAAAAGUUUUUCAUCAACUUUAUCGCUGAGACUCAGCUUAAUAAAUAAAAUCGAAUCAUCCCUGCACCACGGCCAAGGAUAUUCAUGUAAUCAUCAAUGGUCAUGAUUAUACCGAAUAAUCCCUGGUCAUAAUCAUACCAACAACUGUCCAUCAAUGAACUACAGGCCAAUGAGGACUUUUACCACAUCAUUCGUCACAUUACGGUCAUGAUUAUACCGAAUAAUCCCUGGUCAUAAUCAUACCAAGUCCAUCUAUGCACGUAAGCCAAAGAUGACUUUCAUCACAAUAUAAGCAUGAGGAUGAUGACAAUGACAUAAUAAUUCAAUAAAACAAGUUCAAGGAUAAAUUUUAAAGAUUUAUAAUUUAAUUUAUCCAGAAAUCAAUAACGCCCAAAUUGUCAACAUGAUACUGCUUUGUAGAGUAAAAUUCAAGAAUAAUAUUCAUGUACAAAAAAUAAUUUGGACAGAAAAGAAAUAUAUUUUUCGGGUGAAUAGUAUCCCGUGAAUAAUACUUUGGGAAUAGUACCUCAUGAAUAGUACCUCGACACGAAAAGUGUCCCGAAUACCCGAGUGAAUGAUACUAGAGUGAAUAGUAAUUGGGUUAAUAGUAACCCGCGUGAAUAGUAACUCGUGAAUAGUACUCCGGCACGAAAAGUACCUCGAAUAUCCGAGUGAAUAAUACCAGAGUUAAUAAUAACUGGGUGAAUAGUAACCCGUGAAUAGUAACUCAUAAAAAAAAUACCAAAGAAAAUGAUAUUCCAUGACGAGUACAAAAGAAAUGAUAUCUCAGACGAGUAUAAUAGAAUAUACGAAACUGCAAAUGGAUUUUCACCCGCCAUGCGGUAAUCCACGUAGACAGAUCAUUUCCACAAUUUAAUAAAGAAUGAAUACAAAGGAUCAUUCACUAUGCAUGCGGUAAUCCACAUAGAUAGAUUAUUCCAACAGAAUAAUAAAGAAUGGAAUAACAAAAGAAUUCACCAGGCAUGCGAUAGACCACACAGAUAGGUUAUUCCCAACAGAAUAAUAAAGAAUGGAACCAGGUCAUGCGUAAUCCGCACAGACAGGAUAUUCCAACAGAAUAAUAAAAAAUAGAAUAACAAUAGAAUUCACCAGGCAUGCGAUAGACCGCACAGACAGGUUAUUCCAACAGAAUAAUAAAGAAUAGAAUAACAGAAGAAUUACACCAUGUAUGUGGUACUUCGUAUAGACAGAUUAUUCCAACAACAUAAUAAAGAAUGGAAUAACAACCCUUAUGAGUAUUGGAAGAAAAUAACUCUCUUCAUGAAUACGAAAGAAUAAUACCCCUUACCUCAAAAGAAGACUGGAUACUGGAAUAGUGAGGUAGCAGACUUCUCUUCUUCUUUCUCUCUAUAAUUUCUCUCUAUAAUAAUUGCUCUAUAACUUUAGUGAAUUUGUUAGAAAUAAUGAAGGAAUGAGCUUCUAUUUAUAGGAAAAUAUAGUUUCGAUAAUUGCAUAUUUUGGGGCUCGAAAUAUUACAGUAUAAUACCUUCCUCUUUUUCUUCAUUUUUAAUUUAGUCCUGCAAGUAUUAUCAAACAUGCACCACCUCUCCUAAUAGUAAAUCAUGUGAAUCAAUAGUAAAGGAUGUGACUCAAUAGUUCUAUACAUGUGAAAAAAUGAAUUACAGUAUAAUACCUCCAUCUAUACCUCCAUUUUUAACUUAGUCAUGCAAGUAUUAUCAAUCUUGCAUCAACUCCCCUAAUAGUAAAUGGAUUUGAAUAAAUAGUACACACAUGUGAAUAAAUAGUUAUAAUCAUGUUAAUCAAUAGCAAUUAAUUGCUCAUUUAUCUGGUUAAUUACCCGAUUGGUCAAUAUAACCUCCAGACAUCAAUUAUUAUCGAAAUAAAUGUCGAUUUUCACUAACACUAAUAAUUCCAACACAAUGGAACUAUCAAUUUUAUCUUUAAUCAACACGAACUUAUUCAUCAUUAAUAUUAUAAUUCACAAUAUUUAACAACCAGGUCGUUCUUAGGAAAGAGGGGACUUUCCAAUAAGGAUUUCUCCUUAUUGGCGCGCAAUUAGGUGACCAAACCUCUCCUUGACAGAACUUCUAGACAUUGUCAAUAUUGUAAAUAAUAAUAUGAAUAACUUUGUCAUCUCAAUUAUUAAUUUAAUAAUAUAACAUAUUAUACAAAUGAUACAGUGACAAUAAUUGAAUCAUUAAUAUGAGAGAUAUUAUGCAACAAUUACUGUAGCAAUAAUUGAGUAUAACUGAGUGACUUUUCACGUAAGCAUCAAUAAUCCAUACCGUGUGCUACUAUGCAACCACGCGUAUUACUGUACUUUUACUAUCGGGUAGUUCAACAGUUUGACGGUAAAACUUUCAUCGUUAUUUUUAUAAAAAGAUAAUUCUGUCAUUUUCUAACUACGACAAUACUUCCGUUGUGGGGUCCACCAAUGAUUGUGCCGUCGUACGGAUAUUCCCCGACAAAAAGAAUAUUCCCCAACCAAUCGAAUAUUAUAUAACAACUUGCAUACUUUGAAAAAUUUAUAAAUAUUACCAACAACUCUAACAUUAUAUCAAAUCCACACCAUAAUAUUCAAAAAAAUAUUUUGAGAAAUUUAAAUCUUUAUUCAUAAAAUUUGGGGUCUCAUAAUCUCCCCUCCUUAUGAAAUUUCGCCCUCAAAAAUUACGUACGUACCUGGUAUGCCGAUGAGGUGAGGAUACCUUGACUUCAUUUCAUAUUCCAACUCUUGAGGUAUAACCUUUGAGUGUUGAAUAUGAUCCUUCUUAUCCAAGAUUUUAACAAGUAUCUCAUUAUACGUUAAAUCCUCUGCUAUAUCGUCUAGUUUUAAUUUAAUAAUGUUGUUCGGGUCGUCCACAUAUUUACGUAACAUUGAUACGUGAAAAACGUUAUGAACACGCAACAUACUUGACGGUAAAACGAGUCUAUAGGCCACAGUUCCUACUCGAUCGAGGAUUUCAAAUGAGCCAAUAAAAUUGAGGGUUGAUAUUUCCUCUUUUCAUUGACUCUUGCGUCUAGAAUAACGCCUUCUUGAACCUUCUUCUUUAUUUUCAUCAGCUCCAGGUGUGUAGUUUGAGCGGCUUUAACUUUAUCGAUUAAAGUCGAUUCUACUCGUAUAUUCGUUAUCUUCACGUGGGUCCCUAGAGUCUUUAACUCUAUCUUCAUCAUUUGUAAGUUAUACGAAAUGGGUUUUUGUGUUAACAACAUCGCACUCGUAAACGCAUACGAUCUUCUACUCAACGCGUCAGCUACCACGUUCGCUCUUCCACGAUGAUAUUGAAUGGUAUAGUCGUAAUCUUCAACAGCUCGAGCCAACGUCCUUGGCGCAUGAUACGUUUAUUUUAGUUGAAGAAAUAUUUGAGGGUUUUAGAAAUGGGUUUUGUAUUGGGGUCAAUACAAAAUUCGAUUUCACGCUUUGGGGGUAGACCAAGAAGUCUUCAAGAAUACGUCAGGAAAUUUAUUACCUAUAGAAAUAUCAUUCAAAACUGUGACUCUCAUCCAAGACUUGGAUAGCACAUGAAAUGAAAGUUUCUACUAACGAAGUUUCAACCGAUAAGUCAAAGUCUAAUCUCUCAGGAGUUAAAUUUAAACGUUGAGCGCAAGAAAGAGAGAUAAAAUAAUGGGUGGAACCGAUAUCUAAUAAGGUAUAGACUUUGCAAGAAUUUAUAAUUAAAUAACCCAUGCUAACUUCGUUCGGGUUACUCGCUUUUUGAGAAGUCACGAAAAACACUCUUCUUAAAACUACUGACUUUGUUUUGUCCGUAUCCGCCUUUGGUGCCACCGUCCCCAGCUGAACUUGACUUUGGUGCAUGACAAAAUCGGGAUAGGUGACCUUCUUUUCCACAAUUAUAACAUGCUUUGGACUGCAUCACGCAGUUUAGACUGAUAUGUCCCUCCCGUCCGCAUUUAAACCAUACAAUUGGUGGUCGUUCUCCUUCCUUGAAAACCGGUGUUGGUGCUGCUGUCUUUCCAUCAUUGUUGAACCUUCUCUUCUUGAAAUUUCCACUCCUAUUAUCUUGGCCAUGGUUACCACCGAAGUGGUUACCAUUCUUGGCAUGAUAAUUUCCCCCACGAUGGUUAUCAUUGUUCCGAUGGCCGUUGCCACCGGUACGAUUAUUAUCGUGUUAUUGGUCGUUGCCUUUUGGUUGUGCUGACUCAUUAUCGCGCUCCAAUAACUAAACCCUAUUCACAACAUCUGAAUAUAAACAAAUUUUGUGAAAAAUGAGGUAUUGACGUAUAUCGGGUUUCAAACCUCUUAGAAACAUCCGCGUCAUUCUCUCCUCAUUCUCAACCAAGUGGGACGUAAACCAAGAAAACUCGGCAAACUUAGCUUCGUACUGCGCCAUGGUCAUGUUGUUUUUCUCAAGCUUGAUGAACUCUACCUCCUUCAUGUGACGAAUACUUUCAGGAAAGUACUUGUCGUUGAAUAUCUCUUGGAACUUCUCCCAAGACAUCUUGAGUGUGGCAGGUUGAGUACGCUUUACAGAUUCCCACCAAUAAUCUGCCUCUUCACGCAAUAUAAAGGUGGCAAAUGGAACCUUUUGCUCCUCGGAGCAUCCCAAGACAUCAAAUAUCUUGGUGAUCUUCAUUAUCCACGUCUCCGCCUUAAGUGAUUCUGGCUUUCCCAAAAACUCCGGCAGUCCCAGCUCCUUGAACUGCUUAGCAGUGACCAGCCGUGGGUUGCCAUUGUUUCCACCCGCAUUUUGAACAAGAGUCUCUCUCGCCUGAUGUUGCAUGAAUUACAUAAAGCCUCUGAACAUCUCAUCGUUCAUCAUCUGAUCGGUGUUGUUAUUUACCUGAGGAUUAUUGUCUUCUUGUUGCACAUUAUCCUGGGUAUUGAUCGUUGGUGACUCAACGGUCUCAUGUGCUUCAUUGCUUAUCUCAAUAUUUUCAGAUGCCAUUCUCAAACACUAUCAAAAAACAAGGGUUAAUUAACAUGUCACAUAUUAUCCCUAUACUCUGACCGACCAAUUAAAUACCAAAUAAACCUAGGUAGGCCAUACUAGCGAAGGAAUUCCCCGUCUCUCCCCUCCUAGUUCUUAUCUCACAUCUCAGCCAGGGAUCAUAUCCCUAAGCUUUGAUACCAACUGUGACGCCCCCAAAAUAGGUAUACAUCACCCAUCUUGAGUCGCCAGAUACAUGGUACAUAAAUCAAAUACAAACUUAAUUAUACAACAGUCGUGUAAAAUACGACAAAACAUAGCUAUGAGUUUAAACAAGAAUAUUGUCAUCUAGACAAUAUCCAUACUCAAUGGUGUCCUCAUUAUAAUUAUUAUCACAUUAUUUCAUAGAAUAGUGAGGACUACUAAAGCCAUUUAUCCUGGACCAUCACUACAUUCCCUGACUCGUCCCAGCUAUAUUCUAAUUUCCUGAAGAGAACAAUGAAAGAAAGGGUGAGCUCAACUAGCCCAGUAAGAAAUAUUAUGACUAAAAUAAUGCAGAAUAAAUUAUCCUUAGCCUUCGACAGUAUAACAACUGAUAGAAUACAAUAGACAACAAGUUUUAGAUCAACAACUGCAGCGAAAAUAAGCAAUCCAUUAGAAGAGUCAAGUAGAGCAUAAAAUCUACUAUCUUCUAUGAUUUAAAAAGNNNNNNNNNNNNNNNNNNNNNNNNNNNNNNNNNNNNNNNNNNNNNNNNNNNNNNNNNNNNNNNNNNNNNNNNNNNNNNNNNNNNNNNNNNNNNNNNNNNNNNNNNNNNNNNNNNNNNNNNNNNNNNNNNNNNNNNNNNNNNNNNNNNNNNNNNNNNNNNNNNNNNNNNNNNNNNNNNNNNNNNNNNNNNNNNNNNNNNNNNNNNNNNNNNNNNNNNNNNNNNNNNNNNNNNNNNNNNNNNNNNNNNNNNNNNNNNNNNNNNNNNNNNNNNNNNNNNNNNNNNNNNNNNNNNNNNNNNNNNNNNNNNNNNNNNNNNNNNNNNNNNNNNNNNNNNNNNNNNNNNNNNNNNNNNNNNNNNNNNNNNNNNNNNNNNNNNNNNNNNNNNNNNNNNNNNNNNNNNNNNNNNNNNNNNNNNNNNNNNNNNNNNNNNNNNNNNNNNNNNNNNNNNNNNNNNNNNNNNNNNNNNNNNNNNNNNNNNNNNNNNNNNNNNNNNNNNNNNNNNNNNNNNNNNNNNNNNNNNNNNNNNNNNNNNNNNNNNNNNNNNNNNNNNNNNNNNNNNNNNNNNNNNNNNNNNNNNNNNNNNNNNNNNNNNNNNNNNNNNNNNNNNNNNNNNNNNNNNNNNNNNNNNNNNNNNNNNNNNNNNNNNNNNNNNNNNNNNNNNNNNNNNNNNNNNNNNNNNNNNNNNNNNNNNNNNNNNNNNNNNNNNNNNNNNNNNNNNNNNNNNNNNNNNNNNNNNNNNNNNNNNNNNNNNNNNNNNNNNNNNNNNNNNNNNNNNNNNNNNNNNNNNNNNNNNNNNNNNNNNNNNNNNNNNNNNNNNNNNNNNNNNNNNNNNNNNNNNNNNNNNNNNNNNNNNNNNNNNNNNNNNNNNNNNNNNNNNNNNNNNNNNNNNNNNNNNNNNNNNNNNNNNNNNNNNNNNNNNNNNNNNNNNNNNNNNNNNNNNNNNNNNNNNNNNNNNNNNNNNNNNNNNNNNNNNNNNNNNNNNNNNNNNNNNNNNNNNNNNNNNNNNNNNNNNNNNNNNNNNNNNNNNNNNNNNNNNNNNNNNNNNNNNNNNNNNNNNNNNNNNNNNNNNNNNNNNNNNNNNNNNNNNNNNNNNNNNNNNNNNNNNNNNNNNNNNNNNNNNNNNNNNNNNNNNNNNNNNNNNNNNNNNNNNNNNNNNNNNNNNNNNNNNNNNNNNNNNNNNNNNNNNNNNNNNNNNNNNNNNNNNNNNNNNNNNNNNNNNNNNNNNNNNNNNNNNNNNNNNNNNNNNNNNNNNNNNNNNNNNNNNNNNNNNNNNNNNNNNNNNNNNNNNNNNNNNNNNNNNNNNNNNNNNNNNNNNNNNNNNNNNNNNNNNNNNNNNNNNNNNNNNNNNNNNNNNNNNNNNNNNNNNNNNNNNNNNNNNNNNNNNNNNNNNNNNNNNNNNNNNNNNNNNNNNNNNNNNNNNNNNNNNNNNNNNNNNNNNNNNNNNNNNNNNNNNNNNNNNNNNNNNNNNNNNNNNNNNNNNNNNNNNNNNNNNNNNNNNNNNNNNNNNNNNNNNNNNNNNNNNNNNNNNNNNNNNNNNNNNNNNNNNNNNNNNNNNNNNNNNNNNNNNNNNNNNNNNNNNNNNNNNNNNNNNNNNNNNNNNNNNNNNNNNNNNNNNNNNNNNNNNNNNNNNNNNNNNNNNNNNNNNNNNNNNNNNNNNNNNNNNNNNNNNNNNNNNNNNNNNNNNNNNNNNNNNNNNNNNNNNNNNNNNNNNNNNNNNNNNNNNNNNNNNNNNNNNNNNNNNNNNNNNNNNNNNNNNNNNNNNNNNNNNNNNNNNNNNNNNNNNNNNNNNNNNNNNNNNNNNNNNNNNNNNNNNNNNNNNNNNNNNNNNNNNNNNNNNNNNNNNNNNNNNNNNNNNNNNNNNNNNNNNNNNNNNNNNNNNNNNNNNNNNNNNNNNNNNNNNNNNNNNNNNNNNNNNNNNNNNNNNNNNNNNNNNNNNNNNNNNNNNNNNNNNNNNNNNNNNNNNNNNNNNNNNNNNNNNNNNNNNNNNNNNNNNNNNNNNNNNNNNNNNNNNNNNNNNNNNNNNNNNNNNNNNNNNNNNNNNNNNNNNNNNNNNNNNNNNNNNNNNNNNNNNNNNNNNNNNNNNNNNNNNNNNNNNNNNNNNNNNNNNNNNNNNNNNNNNNNNNNNNNNNNNNNNNNNNNNNNNNNNNNNNNNNNNNNNNNNNNNNNNNNNNNNNNNNNNNNNNNNNNNNNNNNNNNNNNNNNNNNNNNNNNNNNNNNNNNNNNNNNNNNNNNNNNNNNNNNNNNNNNNNNNNNNNNNNNNNNNNNNNNNNNNNNNNNNNNNNNNNNNNNNNNNNNNNNNNNNNNNNNNNNNNNNNNNNNNNNNNNNNNNNNNNNNNNNNNNNNNNNNNNNNNNNNNNNNNNNNNNNNNNNNNNNNNNNNNNNNNNNNNNNNNNNNNNNNNNNNNNNNNNNNNNNNNNNNNNNNNNNNNNNNNNNNNNNNNNNNNNNNNNNNNNNNNNNNNNNNNNNNNNNNNNNNNNNNNNNNNNNNNNNNNNNNNNNNNNNNNNNNNNNNNNNNNNNNNNNNNNNNNNNNNNNNNNNNNNNNNNNNNNNNNNNNNNNNNNNNNNNNNNNNNNNNNNNNNNNNNNNNNNNNNNNNNNNNNNNNNNNNNNNNNNNNNNNNNNNNNNNNNNNNNNNNNNNNNNNNNNNNNNNNNNNNNNNNNNNNNNNNNNNNNNNNNNNNNNNNNNNNNNNNNNNNNNNNNNNNNNNNNNNNNNNCGCUGCGAAUAUUGAUCUAAAACUUGUUGUCCAUUAUAUUUUAUCUGAUUUAUUUAAGGCUAACGAUAAUUUGUUGUACAUUAUCUUAGUCAUAAUAUUCUUUACUGGGCUAGUUGAGCUCACCCUUUUCCUUUUUGUUCCAUUUUUCUUCUCAGGAGGCGAGAAUAUAGCGGGAACUAGCCAGGGUGUGGAGUGAUGUUUCGAGACAGUUGUUUUAGCAGUCCUCACUAUUUUGUAAAAUAGUGCAUCAAUAAUUGUAAUGAUUACUUAUUUUUGAGUUUGGAUAUAUUCUAGAAGACAAUAUUUGUAUUUAAACUCACAUCAUAUGUGUUGUCGUAUUUUGCAUGACAAUUGUAAUAAUGAAGUUGUAGUUAUUUUCUGUACCAUAUUUUUGGUGACCCAAGAUGGGUGAUGUAUACCUAUUUUGGGGGCGUCACAUCCGUGGUGGGGUCCACCAAUGAUUGUGCCGUCGUACGAAUAUUUCCUGUUAAAACGAAUAUUCCCCGACCAAUCGAAUAUUUUAUAACAACUUUCUUACUUUGCAAAAUUUAUAAAUAUUACCCAUAACUAUAACAUUAUAUCAAACACCAUAAUAUUCAAAAAUAUAUUUCGAGAAAAAUUAAUCUUUAUUCAUAAAAGUUGGGGUCUUACACAAUCUAUAUUAGACUUAAUUAAAGUCCAUAUAUCACACUUAAUUAGACCAAUUAAUUAGCCUAAUUUAUAUAAAUAUUAUUAAUAUUCUUACAAGUUUAUCUAUGUAUUCAUCUAAAUUUAUUUAUUAUUAAUUAAAUUUAUUAAUAAUGUUUAUUUAUAUCUCUUCUUCUUCGAUAAGGGAUCGACAAGCCAUUACUUCUAUAACUACUCAAAGUCAGGGCGGUAGUUAGCUACCAGCAAUAACUUUAUAGGGUAAAAUGCAAAAUUAACCACUGAAGUUUAGCAAUUUUUGGAUAUUGAGUCCCUUUCUUUUGGUCAACAGAAAUUGAGCUCCUUUCUAUUCAAAAAUUUGAAAUUUGAGCCAUCAGGCGCCACGUGAGCGUUGACCUGCUGACAUGAGAAUUUUUCAAUUUUAUCCCAAAAAUAUGUCGCUCCACUAAUUCGAACUCAAAACACCCAGUUUGGAACUUUGAUCAUAUGACCACUGAAGUACCACGAGCUUAACUGUUAAUAUUUCGCAAGGAUUAAUCUUUAUAACAAAACAAUUCAUUUCCCACAAAAAAAUUAAAAGACAAAACAGAUCCUUAAUAUUAGCUAAGUCUCAUUUUGUCCUUUAUAUUGACUGGAACUUAUUGACGGAUCAACCUAAAAAUAGAAUACUGCAAAUCAAGGAUUUAUUGACAUCCCAUAUACAUAACAAGCACAAACACAAGCUCUUUGACAACAGUAAAUUGAUUUGAACUAAAACAAAAAAUAAUACAUUAAUCCCAAAGCUUCUUUAAUUAACCAGUUCUUGAAUAGCUCCCACACUUUGUGAAUCGCAAUUCUCUGAAUCUCUCUCCCUCGACGAAGUCGCCCCCUGUUGAACAAAAGCACGGCCGUUGUAAUUUCGACUGAUGAUGGAUUCUUCCGAUAUAGGCCUUUUCAGACCUAGCCCUCUUGAUCUAUCAAAUGAUCUACGAGAGCUCUCCAUUUACAUAGUAAAAAUUCGAUCAACCAAAAAACAUAAAUCAAAGCCCUAAUUUAAUCCCUACUUUAUUACAUAGUAAAAAAUUGAAAAAGAAAAAACUAGAUUUAUGGUAAUUAAAACUAACAAGGAUUUCAUACGAGACUUACAAAUCAGAUACCCUAAUCAUUGCCCUAAUUAUGUAUACACAAAAUCAAGAUUGAUACAAAAGUUCGAUCUUUGAAGACAAAUAUUGUGAAUUGAGGAGAGAGAUGAGAUAUGAUUGACAGAACUCCGAUAUUAGUCUUCAAAUCGAGCUGUCAGUUACUUUUUGACUCUGGUUUCAAAUUAAUUAAGUCUCAUUUCGUAAUCUUUCUCAUUUCGUAAUCUAAAUGAGACUUAGUUAAGUAGAGGUUUAGAAAAAGAGAAAGAUAAAGAGGGAAAUGAAACUUAGCUACUCUGAAGGAUCUGUUUUGUCUUUUAAUUUUUUUGGGAGAAAUGAAUUGUUUCGUUAUAAAGAUUAAUCCUUAUGAAAUAAUAAAAGUUAGGCCUGUAGUGCUUGGGUGGUCAUAUGAUCAAAGUUUGAAAUUGGGUAUUUUGAGUUCGAAUCAGUGAAGCGCUCACGUGGCGCCUGGGGGCUCAAAUUCCAAAUUUUUGAAUAGAAAGUGGCUUAAUUUACAUUAACCAAAAGAAAUGGACUUAAUACCCAAAAAUUUCUAAAGUUCAGUGGUCAAUUUUAUAUUUUACCCUAACUUUAUCAUUAUAGCAAACUAUUUCAUGUUGCUCGGAGGAAAAAAAAAAUAUUAGAAGGAAAAAGGUUUGGCCUAUUAGUACUCGGUAAGUUCUAAACAAACCAAACACAAUUAAUAAUUUUAUUUAUUUACUAAUAAUAGUUUAUAUAACUUAUACGUUAUUAAGGGCUCAAAUUUUAUGGGAGUAGUUAACAUAAAAUUAAUUUUGAUUAAUUGACUAAUAUAGUAUCAACACACAAAUUGAAAAAUAAUCUCUCCUUACGUGUCAACAUUAUAUUAAUUAAUUUAUCAUAAAAAUUUUCAUAAUAAUCAGAUCCAAAUUUUAUAUAUCAAAAAUAGUAUGUCGCGUUGGACCUCUAAAUACUACUACUUUACCCACAUUAAAAGUUAAUAAUCGAAAAAAUCUCUCUCUAUUGUCGUUUUAUUUAUCAUUAUCCAAACACUACUGCUCUACGCACAUUAAACGGUGCUGAGAAGAAACGUUGUCAUUGUCCUUUUUCUGCAUGUGUGAUUGAAGGUAAUUUGGGUCUUAUCAUUAUGUUAGAACUUAUGUUAUUAGCUGCUCAUGUUUAACUUGAGUUUUUUUUUUUUGGUAUUUUGCAAGUCUUGUGGUACUGUCCAAAGAGUAUGGAUUUUUUCCACUUUUAUAAUCAUGUUUUGGGUAUUAAUGAAUUUCAUUUUAUUGAUAAAAAAGAAAAAUAAAAUUUUUCUCUCAAAUUAGUCACAUGCGGAUCACAUUAUUGAAUUACAGAUUUAAACAUAAAUUUAUAAGCAAUAACUCUCUUGACUUUUUAAAAAUAUAUUUAAGUCAUUUUUUUUGUCCAUGUUAGUCUACGAAAAACUACUUAAUAGCUUUAAAAUUAAUAUAAAAAAAAAUUACAAUUAACUCCUACUUCUAUACCACGAAGACAAAGGCAACCAAGUGGAAUAGGCGGGUAAUUUAAUUAACCUAAUUGGCUUUAUAUGUUAAAGCUAAUUAGGUUCCACAAAAACAAUAUUGGAGUAGCAGCUAAUAGUGUGACAGGUGACCAUACAAUGGAUAUUUUUCAAUACGUUUCACUUUCAUGACAGAAAACUUUACGGAUUAAUUAACACACAAAAUAUAAAUAAAAAUAUUUUAUCAGUUUUUUCUUAUUAUAAUUAAAAAAGAACUGGAGACUAUAAAAGGGUAUGCAUGGAAGUCUAGAGAUCACAGAAAACACACACUUCAUUUCUUAAGAAAAAAGUUGUUGAAGUUUGAAGAGAUCAUGAGGGCAAUAUAUAUUAUCAGCAUCAUUAUAGUGAGCUUGAGCAUUUUCUCUUGUGGUGGGAAUGCUCGACUUCUUCCUGCUAAUAGAGAUUAUCCAUGGGCAAUGUUUGCCCUAAGGCUUCAAUGGCCAGCUGGAUUUUACGAGGUCAACAAUGACUGUGAUACAAAGUCUCUCCUCAACACAUUUACCAUUCACGGCCUUUAUCCCUAUAACGCGAAGGGGAUCCCAGUGUUAUAUUGUGACGGAACUGCCUUUGAUGUUAACUCUGUGAGUUCUCUCAGUCUGCAUUUAAUUUACUUCUUAAAAUCCUUGCUCUAUUGUCUAUUAAAUAUGUUUUUUUGUGGUAACAUUUAUAUAUAUCUUGAAGAGUUGGAUAUGUUUGUUUGAUAAAAAAAAUGAAAUUGUACAUGCAAUAUAUAUCCAUACAUACUCACAUAUGUUAAACUAAUUUCUCUCCUCCUUUAUUUUGAAAAUUAACAGGUAUCGGACUUUCAAGCAGAAAUGCAUCUUGCAUGGCCGAGUCAUGAAACUAAUACUGAGGACAAACAAUUCUGGGAACACGAGUGGAAUAAACAUGGAAGGUGCUCAGAAGCUUUGUUGAAGCAGACUGAUUAUUUUAGAACGGCGCUUGCUUUUAGAAAAGCAUUUGAUAUAAUUGGGCUACUAAACCAGGAAGGUAAACAUACCCAUUGAUAUAUAAUUAAAUAGUCUUUAAUUUGGUUCAUUAAUUGCUUCCUAAGGGAACUACGUACUUAAUUUAGAUUUUGUGGAUGAUUAAUUGAUAAUGUGAGUUUGAUGAGAUUACUAUUCAAAAAUGUGUAGGGAUUUACCCGAAUAACGACCUUUAUCGUCCUAAAAUGAUAAAAGAAGCAAUCAAAAAGCACUUGAAUGCUGUGCCAGAAAUCGAUUUCACCAAAAACGAAAACUCAGAAUAUGUGCUUACGGAUAUUAAUCUAUGUGUGAACCAACAAGCAACAAGGUUCGUAGAUUGCCCUACCGAUGACGCUACUGAUGACUACCGCCUCAAAUUCGUAAGACUACCUUCUAAAAUGAAAAUUGCGGAUCCGAGGACCAAUUCUAUAAUAUAGCACAAAUGGUACGGCUACAAAAUGGACUACUAUCUUGUUUAAUUAAUGCUUUUGGGAGUAUAUAUUAUCUAUGUAAAAUAGUUAUGAGUGCUAGGGUUGGCUAAUUAGUACUAUGAGGCCAACCUUUAGUAUCUCUUGAAUAAUGUCCAUGUAGCAAAAGUUUAUAGCACUCUGGCCUUGGUGUGUAUGGAUAAUUAUAAUAAAUGACUACUUUUAUCUGCAAAAAAAAAUAAAAUCCAAGUAUUUUCUUUUGUUUUUAUUUUUGAUAAGAAUUUAAUUUUAUGUAGUUUGAUGGCAUAGUUUAUCUAGGAAGCUGAUAUUUUCACAUGUUAAAAUGAUAUUUUCAAACGAGUCUCUCACAAUAUGGAUGUGGGACUUGCUCACUAUUCAUGUGAGAGGGAUUAUGUGAAAAUAUCAAAUUUUUAUGUGAAAAUAUUAGCUCCCUUUAUCUAUUAUAAUGGUGAAACAUGACUUUUUGAUAUUUUUCACAUGAAAAUCGUCGCUAUAGAUCCUUUAGUAGUGGUUUUUACUGUCGCUAUACAUCUCUAUAGCUACAUUUUUUAUAUAAAAAUAUCAAAAAAAUAUGUGGAAAUAUCAAGCAUGCAUGCAUCGUACCAGAAAACAUUUAAAGGGACACUUCAAAGGGAUUUCAGACAAAAAAUAAAACCAAAAAUAAAUGAUUUCAUCACAAUUUUGUUUUCAAGUAUUGUCGCAAAUCAGUGGUCACUAAAAAAAAAAAGGAAAAUAUAUUUGUCGCAAUCUAUAAAACAUGACUGAAAACAGGGGCGAAGCCACAGUUCAGGAUGUGUGGUCAAUUGAUUUCAUUGAAAAAUAUAUAUUUUAUAAUAUAUGAUAAAUUUAAAGAAUAUUUAAGUGUAAUAAAUAAAUUGACUUCAUUGAAAUUUUAUAACCUUUUUAAUAUACGGUGUUAAAUUGAAUUUUUUAUAACUUUCUCAAUUCUAUAUUAUUUCUACUCCUUGAUGUAUGCUUAUUUCUCUAAUAUUUUUAAAAUAAAUAAUAAUUUAAUUUAUAUUAUUUUUAUAUCAUAAGAAAUUUAAAUAUUUAUUAACAAAUUUAUGAUUAAAAAACGUAUUAGGGGUCAAUAAGGAGUUUUUUUGUGUGUGUGUGUGUGUGUGUGUGUAUAUAUAUAUACAUGUUGUUUCAUUUUAUGUCUUUAGGUUUAGUUUAUCAGGAUACUAGGUAGAUUAUUUCAUUUGGGUCUCUCUUGAGCCUUAAUUUUAGGUUGCCCUCUUUUAUAAAGAGGAUGAUUCGAUUUCAACUGCUGACAUCUGUACCAGUUGGUUCAUGGACAAGUUUCUUUUGAUAAGUUAGUAUCAUGGACAAAUAUAAAUAAUAAUUAACUGUUACAAUGAAAAUUAAACUUCAAUUAAGUCUAGGCCAUUCAUACAUUGAAAAAAGCUUCUUGAAUAGGUUAGAGAGUUUGUGAAAUAUUUUUUUAGUUUGCUUAACCCUUUGAAAAGCGGUUGUGGUAAGAACAAAUAUUGAUAAGUUAUUGAAACACCGCUUUUCAAAGGGUUAAGCAAACUAAAAAAAUAUUUCACAAACUCUCUAACCUAUUCAAGAAGCUUUUUUCAAUGUAUGAAUGGCCUAGACUUAAUUGAAGUUUAAUUUUCAUUAUAACAGUUAAUCAUUAUUUAUACUUGUCCAUGAUACUAACUUAUCAAAAGAAACUUGUCCAUAAACCAACUGGUACAGAUGUCAGCAGUUGAAACCGAAUCAUCCCCUUUAUAAAAGAGGGCAACCUAAAAUUAAGGCUCAAGAGAGACCCAAAUGAAAUAAUCUACCUAGUAUCCUGGUAAACUAAACCUAAAGACAUAAAAUGCAGUAACAUAUGUACAUGAAGGACAUAUUGAAACACUGCUUUUUUUUUCUUUUUUGAUAAGUUAUUAAAACACCGCUUUUCAAAGGGUAAGCAAACUUGAUACAGGAAGAGAAGUAACCCUUUGAGCAGCAGGAACCCAUCUGGGUGGAGGCGAAUCCAACAAUCAACUCAGAAUUACAAAAUCCUAUACAAUAAGAUUACACACAAACUCUAAAUUUCAUUCAUUUAGUUAGAAAAUUAGAAAAUACCUUGGGAGACGACGAACUUGCUUUCGAAUUCGUCCGGCGAACUUGCUUUCGAAUUCGUCCGACGAGAUGCUUGGAUUUGCGAUUGAGAAUGAGCCAGAUUUCGUCUGGCGAGAUGCUUGGAUUCGCGAUUGAGAAUGAGCAAGAUGGUCUCUGUCCUUUUUUUGACCCGAAAAGGAUCCGCGGCUAUUUUUUCCCAAAAGGUCUGUGUCUUUUCCUCGCCGUUGGAUGUAUCUCACGAUUAGUAUGAAAAGUUCGUAUUUUUGGCAACAUCCGGGCGCCCGGACCAGAUCGUUUCUGUAUAUGUAUGUAUGUAUAUAUAUAUAUAUAUAUAUAUAUAUAUAUAUAUAUAUAUAUGCGUUGUGAGAUCUGUGGUAUUGUGUUGCAUGGGGUAAUAUAAACUAUGCAAUAAGUGAUUUCUGUGUUUAAUAAAUAUAUUAUUAUAUAUUUGUUAUUUAUUGAAGAGGCAAGUUAUUUGAAGUAAAGAAGAUGGAUAAAAAUUUAUCGAUAUUAAAUAAUUUAUGUGAAAUUAUUUUAUCGUAGUAAGUUGGUGACAUUAAAUAUAUUUGAUAAUCACCAAUUUCUUUAGUAUAUGUAUGAGUAAGUAUCACGUCUAAGGCAGUGCAACCGUACCCUUUAAUGGUGGUUGUGUAGGAGCUGGGCUAACUGAUUCCUUCAGAGAGCGGAGAUAUAUACAAAUUAGUAACCGAUCUAACUUACUGUGAAAACAGUGUAGACGAGAAGGAAAGUAAUUUGUUGGUUAUUUGUGGGAAACCACUCAGUGUACUAUAUUGAAUACUAUUAAAGACUCGAUGUGUGUUAGGUUUAGACUUGUAUAUAUAUACGUUAUUGACGAGAGAAGAAAAUCGAUAUAUCUUUAGAUAAAUAUUGGUUAGAGAUUUAUUGAUUAAUAUUGAGAUAUGAUUAAAUGUAUAGAUUAAAGAAAUUGUGUUGAGACAAUUUAUAGAAAGGAAAGAGAAAUAAUUAUAGUAUAUUUCUAAUAAAGGAUAUUAAAAUAAAUUCUAGCAUUUGAUUAUUUUAAUAAUAAUGGGGAAUAUUAUUUUGAAAUUACCUUAUAGGUAAUGUGUGUGAUUAAGUAAUAUGGUAAAUAUAUUAAAACAUAUUUGCUAUAUAAGUUGAUGGAAACAAUUUAUCAUAAUAGGAAAUAAACUUAUUUUCUAUAUAUAGUGUGUACGUGUGUCGUGCAUGUAAAUAUUUUAAUAAUACAUAGAUAUUAUAUUAACAAUAAUAUCUUGAGAAAAUGAGUAAAUCGUUUUAUUAUGAUUAGUUCCUAUAUUUAGAGAAAACAUGAUAAAAUCAUCGUAUGUUAUGUUAUGGCGAAAUACAUAAUUUUGAUUGUAGUAAUGUAUUUCCAAGAAGGUUAAAGUUAAAAGAAAACUAAGUUAUUCUAAUAACUUGAGUUAUUAUAUUACCGCGAAUGUUAUAAAGAAUAUUUAAAUAUCUUCAUUCACGAUAUAUUUAUAUAUGUGAAUCUUGUGAUAUAAUAGUUCGAUGUAAAUUGAACAUAUUAUAAAUAGUAAGGUUCGUGGUAAAUGAAUAAGUAAUGAGAAUGAGGAUAAGCUUAAUGUAAGCUUGUGAGAUAUGCCUAGUGUGGUAAAGUGAUGGAAUAAACAUUCAUUAAAUAAUUUAAUGAAUGAAUAAUUGAAGGAAUUAAAUUGUAUGUGCAAUGAUUAUAUAUUAUAUAGUAACUACAUCUAUAUGAUAUGAAAUGAAGUGUGACACUUCAAUGGUAACUAUAUAAUAUAUGAAGUAUUUGAAUACAUAUGUAUAAAGACUAGUAUGCUAGCAUUAUGUACAAGUGAGAUAAUAAAUGUAAUAUGGUACAAUAGACCACUUCCAUGACCAUAUUAUAAGAUGUAAUGUUAAGAAUAAUAUUAUUUUGUGAGAUUAUUUUAUUAUAAGCUUGUGGACUAUUAAUUACUAAGUUCACAUAAUUAUGUCUUGUGUGGCAUAACUAGUGAAGUUAAAUCAAAGGGAGAAUUAAUGGAAAGUAUUAAAAGAAAAUAAAUGGUGAGUUAAUAAAUAAUUGAUAUUAAUUAUCAUUAUGAUAAUUGAGGGUAUUUGAGGUAAUAAAGUUUAUGGAAAAUGAUGGAUUGAGAAUAUCCAACUAUUUUAUAUUUAGCCCAAUAAAAAUAUUAAUUGAAAUAAACCAAUGUACAUAGAUUAUAUAAAUUCUAUGUGUAAUGUAUAAGUGAGUGUAUAUGUAUGAUCAUUUUUGGACAAAUAUCAAAUAAACCUAAGUAUGCUAAUAGUAAUACAAAAUGUUGAGUUUUAAGGGUAGUGUCCCAAAUUGUGUGUCAUUUCUCCAUACACGUGAAAUGCAAAAAGGAUAGCUAGCUAGCUUGCUUCUUCUUCUCCAAAAUCCAUAGCUUCCAAAUGAUGAAAAGGGGAGUGAGUUGAUUUGAUUUUCCACCAACUUCUCAUGAACCAUUAGUUUCUUCUUCAUUCCAUUGAGCAAAGUUCCAAUGUUGGUCAAAAAGUUUUCCUAUAAAUGAAGCAAGUUUCAUUCUUGUACUUCUUGUUGAUCACUCUGUGAAGUUCAAAAAUUUGUGUGUGUGAGUGUUGUUGAGUUGGAGAGGAAACUUGAGAUUGAAAGCAAAGAGUUUACUUCACAACUUUAGAAGGUAAUAUCCCUCUAUAUGUUAUUGAAUUCAAGUUUUGCAAAGUUCUUAAAAAAGUACUAAAAUACUUGUUUUGAGUUGAAAAGUUUAUGGUUGAAGCAUGAUAAAGUGUGUCAAUUGAUGCUAGACACUGAUAAUAUAGUCAUAUGCGAAAACAGCGAGAGUUAAACGGACCAAUUUGGUUUAGAAACGAAUUCGUAGUGAAUGAAUUCACUAAACUUUUCAAAACAUGAAAAUUAGUAUGAACAUGAGUUUUGGAUUAAGAAUUAGGUUAGUUAGGGUUUCUGUAAAUUGUUAUAAUUCUAGUAUGUUGUAGUUCUAUGAAUUACGAAUCCAUAGAAUCAAAAACGGACUAAUUUGGACAUGUAUAACUCAAAUUAUGAAGGUUAGAAAGAGGUUUGGCAUGAUAUCUCGUAGCAGGGGAAAUGAAAAUUUUCAAUUUCAACAGCUAUGCCCGCCCCGGCGGGGGUCUUGCUGUGAAAAAGGCCCGCCCCGGCGGAAGAGGUGGGGGGGGNNNNNNNNNNNNNNNNNNNNNNNNNNNNNNNNNNNNNNNNNNNNNNNNNNNNNNNNNNNNNNNNNNNNNNNNNNNNNNNNNNNNNNNNNNNNNNNNNNNNNNNNNNNNNNNNNNNNNNNNNNNNNNNNNNNNNNNNNNNNNNNNNNNNNNNNNNNNNNNNNNNNNNNNNNNNNNNNNNNNNNNNNNNNNNNNNNNNNNNNNNNNNNNNNNNNNNNNNNNNNNNNNNNNNNNNNNNNNNNNNNNNNNNNNNNNNNNNNNNNNNNNNNNNNNNNNNNNNNNNNNNNNNNNNNNNNNNNNNNNNNNNNNNNNNNNNNNNNNNNNNNNNNNNNNNNNNNNNNNNNNNNNNNNNNNNNNNNNNNNNNNNNNNNNNNNNNNNNNNNNNNNNNNNNNNNNNNNNNNNNNNNNNNNNNNNNNNNNNNNNNNNNNNNNNNNNNNNNNNNNNNNGUGUCCUGCAAUGACUUAUUUUAUCUGUUUUGGUAAAACGGAUAUAACGUUUUCAUACAAACUCCGAUUGAGGAGAUUCAAGAUGAUCCGGAACGAGAAUGAAUAGACCCUCAACUUUUGUUCUUUACAUUUUUCAUUUUGAGGUUGUUAGAAUGGGUCAAAACAGUCAUCUUUGUGACUGUUACGUAUAUGUUAUUCUAAGUUAUUAAACAUAAAUAUGUAUGAUAAUAGACAUGUCAUAUAGCUAAGAUUUCUUUACUCAUAAUGAAAUGCGUUAACAUGAUUUUCUAAAAAACACUUAAAAGUUUUUGAGAAACGAAAGUUGAUGAAAUUGGUGUCCAUUGAGUUCUGAGCUUGGACCCUAUGUACGCAUAUCAAUGGACAUGAAAUUUAGUUUUAAAGUUACCUUGCAUAUACUAGAUUGAUAUAGCUUGGUUUAAAGUGUUUUGAAAGAAAAACUUGAAGUUUUGAAAAUGAAACUUGACGAACUUUGUGUCUUUUAAGCUUCGACUUUGGGAACAUGUGAUUGUGGCCUAGUUAUGCGUGUGGAUGGACAAGGAAUGUAAUUUCAAGAUAUAUUGCACAUAAAAGGUUGUCAAGCUCGGUUUAGUAUGUGUUUUAAAUUUUUUUUAAAAGUUUUAGAAACUAACUUUGAUGAGCAUUGUAUUACUUGCAUUAUGACCUUAUAAGCAAGCAUGAUAGAGUUGUCUAUGACUUUGAACAUGAAUGAUAUGUGCACUCAACUAGUCAAGCAUGACCUAAGUUAUUUAAGCAUGUUUUAAAAGUAUGAACUAUGCUAUGUCUAUGUAAAUGAGAUAGAUACAUGUGAUCAUGCUAUUAGAGGCUUAUUAGUACCAAUAUAUAGUUUAAAAGCUUAUAACAUUGAAUCUUGUUAAAGAAAGUUGUUAAGCCUUAUUGAUUAAAAUAAAUCAUUAUGGAGCUAAGUAGUUUGAAUAUGAACUUGAAAAUAGAUCACAACCUAUUUAAUGUCAAGUACGGAUGGUUAAGAUAUACUUAUACAUGCCUAGCUAUUCAAAGAUUAGGAAGAGAAAGUGAAAUGAAGGUUUUACAAACCUAGUUAGGAAACGAUAUAAUAUUUAUUAUUAUAUUAAGAGCAUAUGAAAUGUAUGACUGAUGGAUAUGAAUCCAUGAUUAUAUAACUAUGUAGGAAUACACGCAGUGCAGAUAAGCUUUAAGCAGUUAAGUCAUAGUUGAUAAACUAUGAAUCAGGGUCUUUCAGUUCUUAUUUGAUAUAUGAAUUUGAUAAUUGUUAGUUGAGCUAUAUUAUGCUAUGAGAAUGUUGAUGUAUAUAUAUGAAAUGCAUAUGAGAUAUGUAUGAAAUUGAAAGUUGAUCUUUGAUGAUAUGCUUGUGAAGUAAAUGUCUAUGCCUGUUAUGUGAGAAGUAACAUGUGUAGUAAAUAUUAAUUGAUUAUGAAUGCAUGAACUGAGUAUGUUAUUAUAUGCUAUGUGCUGCAUGAAAACUGUUAGAAUUGCUGGGUUGUCGAGCUCACCCUUGCAAAUAACCACUUUUACAGGUUAAGGACUCACGAUAAAGAUUACGUGCUACUUGAUACAUAAAGUUCAAUAGCAUCAAAGGAGAUUUAUUUAUUUAUUUAAAUAUAUGACCUUGAACCAUGUUUAGGUUCUAGGAGAUGUACAUAAUAGUAGUUUACGAUAAGUAAUACAUGUUAAGUUGUACUAUGUGAUACAUAGAGGAAUUCGAAUCGAGAUGUAAAGAUUUUUACAGUAAUUCGAAUAGAAUGAAUCAUAACAUAAUUUGAUUCAAGGAGAUCUAAUUGAUUCAAGUUAAGACAUCAAUAAAAGAUUUUUUUUAAGAGAUUGAAAAAGUUUAAAUUAUUCUGCAUAUUUUUAUAACAUCGAAUAUGAUAUAAGACAAGAAUGGUAAAUGACCAAGAUUAGAAACUUAUAAAAGUUUGGGGUCAUUACACAGAUCCUGGCAAUAGAAAGAAUUUAUUUUCUAAAUUGUAAUAAGCUAAGUUAUAUUCAUUAAGUUAUGAAUAAAAGAUAUAAAUAGUUUGACGAUAGUAGUAUCAUGGCGGACUGGAUCCGAGGUUCGAAGGGACCCGGAUUUGGGGGCGUCACAAUCACUAUUCAAAUACAUACAUAUAUCACCUGCUUAAUAUUGUAUACAUUCUUCAUUUAUUCCACACGUGUCUCAUAAAAAAUAAUAGAAACAUCCAUUCAUUCUUCUAUAGGCCUUAACCUCACAUAUUCAACAUUUGCCUAUAAUAUAAAUUAGGAUUACUUGAGAUUUCACGUAUAUGAAAUUACAUAUUUUCACAUCUCGACUCUUUACACAAUUUAAUACUUCAUAAUAUCAUAACGUAUCUUAUAUUAUUACAAAAAAUUAAUACAACAUCCUAAUCUAUUACAUCAACAUUAUUCAUUCUUUCUAACAACCGUUUCUUUCUCUUUUAUCUAUAUCUUUUGGACCCUUUUGAUCCUUCUGCCUUUUCUAAAAAUUUGAAAUAAAAUGCAAGAGCGAACAACAGAUUUGCUUAACAAGUUUAAAAAUAGUUUAGAAUAAUAAGCACAAGUAUAAAUCCCAGUCACUGAAUUAACAUUACAGAUAAUAAUCUUAAAAAUUCUGAAACACUCAGCAUCAACAACGUAGCAUAACAAAAUGUCACUACAGGAAAAAGACUUAUCUAUAACCACCUAUUAGUGACUGUACUUGGUCGCAGAUGCAUAUCAGCGAUUGAAUGCGGUCGCUGAUAAUAGUCACAUAUAAUCUGGCCGUUGUGUGGAUCCCAACGACCACUAUUAGUGACCGAUAUAUCAGCGACCGCCCUAUAGCGACCGAUGUCGUCGCUAACCUGAGUCACUGUGAGUCAGGUCUCAGGGGUGACGUGGCCCAAUUUUUGCGACCAACAUUAUCGAUCGACGUGGUCACUAAAAACCUCAAGUCAUUUUUUAGCGGUCGCUGAUACGUAUUAGUGACCGCCUGCGGUUGUUGAUACUUAAAUUUUUUUUUUUAAAAAAAGAUUGUUUUGGGGAUUUAAUUCCCUACACAUAUUAGUGUCUAUUUGUACCUGCUUUAUAUCUUAAAACACAGCUGUAUCAAUAAAUAAACCAACAUCCAUACAAAUACAUCGAUCCAUAUAUAUACACAUCCACACAUGUAUAAACAUAUAUAAACAAAUACCAUCCGACUAAAUUUUUUAUACAAAUAAAAUGUCAUAACAUACAAUAUAAACUCCGUACAUUCAUUCGGUAAAAAAAGAAUAAUACAAAUGUUCACAUAAAAGAGAAGAGAACAAUACAAAUGUCUGCAUGCAUCAAAUAUCGUCCAAAUGAAGUUGUAACAAAAUAUGUUAAAUAUAAAGUAUACAUGUUGAUACUGGCGUGACUUAUGCAAAGCAAAAAAUGACCAUUUAUGAUGUAUUACAAUAACAAAAAGCUAAACAUAAAUAAAAAACUAAACAUGUAUUAUUGAAUGUAAAACUAAACUAAGCAUCAAAGCUAAACAUAAAGGUAAACAAUGACAAGAUUACCUCGACAUCAUUAGCAUGUUGUUAUGAUGUUUUCACCACUACAUAAGCUAACUCUUUAGGACUCAGAGAUUGUAAAUAUCCGCCAAUUAUAAAGUCGGUCGUCGUUAAUAAAGCUUGUCCCCAAUACUCCUUGAGAAGUGUAAUCUAGUUAUGGCUCACCUCUCCAUGAAAUCAAGAAACAUCCUCGGUUUGAAAGCCCUAUGCAUUUCAGUUGUUACUCCUGUUUUUGCAAAAUCAACUGCCAUAGAGUGAAGGGUUGCCAACUGAAGAUAUUUUUUACUCAUAACUUUAUUUGACUCAAGGUCUGUAUGUACCAAAUGUGCAAUAGAGAUUGUACCUAAGGUAUCAUUAAUCAGAUAAUUAAUUAACAGAGAACUUUUGAAUUUCCUGCAAAAUUAGACUUAUUGGAAAAUCUCAGACUAUUAUGAACAUAAAUAAAAUAAAAUUUAGCUUUAAACUACCUCUAAUGUCAUAUCAUGAUCCAUCAAGCGUGGUCUUCGUCUAGUAUAGUUCAUGGGGGGGGGGGUACAGUUCAACGUGGGAUGAGAUUAUCAUCCCAACUUAUGAAAUUGAGCUCAACCAUAUAGACCUAGCUCUUCCAUUCCCAAAUCAACUGCUACAGUUCAUUGUAAUUGAACUAAUUAAGGAAGUAACAGUUCAAUAGAUAGAGAGGAAAAGCGGGCCAGGACUGGAAACUGGAAGGGAGUUAAUGAGAAUACAAAGUGUCACCAUUCUUAGAUGUUUCUUUUGCAUUUUUUGUGUAUAGACAAAUAUAUAAAAAUAAAUGUGGCUAUUUUUCAAUACACUCAUUAUUUCUUGAUGUAAAUCAUAUAUUCUCGAUGCAGAAGAUCAACUAGACACUUUCUAUGACGCCCCUAAAAUUAGUCCACACAACCCAUUUUGGGUCGCCAAAUACACACUACAGAAUCUAAAUACAAAUCUUUCAAUUUAUAACUAUUAAAAUGUUGUGUAAAAUACAACAACACAUAAACUGGGAGUUUCAAUAAAAAUAACAGUACUCACACUCCAAACUAAUGAUACUUUACAUAAGGGUAAAAUGCAAAGCAAAUCUGACGUCAGCAUUUUUUAUUUUAUUUUACAUAGUGGACAGGCUGACAUGGCAAAUAUUGAAUUUACCUAGCAAAAAUUAUGUUUGCUGCCAAGAUUUGAACUUGAGACCUCUAGCUUAAAACUUGAACCCAAUAACCAACUAAGCAAACAAGACUAGUUGUUAUAAUUUUGCAAGGAUUAAUAUUUAUAACUGAACAAAUUAUUUUCCCCAAUAAUAACAACAACAACAACAACAACAACAACAACAACAAUAAUAAUAAUAAUAAUAACAAUAAUAAUAAUAAUAAUAAUAAUAACAAUAAUAAUAAUAAUAAUAAUAAUAACAAUAAUAAUAAUAAUAAUAAUAACAAUAAUAAUAAUAAUAAUAACAACAAUGAUAAUAAUGAUGAUGAUAAUAAUAAUAAUAAUGAUAAUGAUAAUAACAAUAAUAAUAAUAAUAAUAAUAACAACAACAACAACAACAACAACAACAACAACAACAACAAUAAUAAUAAUAAUAAUAAUAAUAAUAAUAAUAAUAAUAAAAGACGUUAUUAAAGACAUCAAAGACUCCUACAAAGACAUCGGAUUAUUAUUCAAAUUAUAAUCCAUCAAAGACAUCAGGAAUAGUGGGGAUGUUUAUUCAAAUUUUAUUUUUAUUUUAUUAUUAUUAUUAUUAUUAUUAUUAUUUUGAAAAACUCCUACAAGAUCUGUUAGUUAUAAUCAGUCCAGAACAGAUCCAAAAUUCAGCCAAAAAUCCCACAACAUUUAUAUGAUUCAAAAUCCCACAACAUUUAUAUAAUCCAAGGACAGAGUAACAGUUUUAUAGAUCUAGAUCUAUAUCAACUAAACCCAUAACAGACUAAAUUAACACUCAAAAUAAGAUCUAGGCCUCCGUCGACUACUCCGUUACCAAAAGAAUCGCCGGCGAAACGACGUCCCACAAGAUCCGCCUCUUUCAUCUUUCAUCUUCCUCUCCAAUCCCAAUUAAAUUGAAAAUACAAAACAUUAAUUAAAUUAAAAGGAAAAAAAUAGCCUUCAUCAGAAUCCACCUCUUUCAUCUUCCUGGAUGGUGUUUUCAGUUCAGUCUUGUCCAUCACCUGUGGAAAGAAAAAAUAAUAAAGAGAAGAGAAAGGCACUAGUGGUCCGGUUAAGAACACGUGAUUAAUGACUGCUACAACAUCUCUGACGAACUUCACAAGAUUUUCUCCUAUAUGUUCACCUGUAAAUGAGAAACUCUACUUAUGUUUCGAUUGUCAUAAUAUUUUGAAAUUGUACAAGUAAUUGAUGAAUUCUCGGUCGAAUUCGACUUGGGGUUUUGUUCAACCAUUUUCAAACUUACUAAAUCUCCCCUUUUAUUUUAUUAUAAUUGUUUGUAAGCUUUUAUAAUUGUUUGUAAACUUUUAUAAUUUGUUUUAUAAUUUCUGGAAAUGUCUAAUAUUUUGAAUAUGGGAUAUUUUUAAGUUUUAAUUUUAAGCUUAUUUUUAAAUAUAUUCUUUUUAAAUUUGUAAAUUAGUUUUAAUUUAAAAUUUUUAAUUUUAAUCUAUAAAUUUGCUAAUGUUAAUUGUUUAAUUUUUUAAUUAAUGUUGAUUGUUUAAUUUGUUAUCCUUUUAAUAUUAUGUCGAGGGAAAUGAACUGAUUUAGUAUAAAUCUUAAUUCUUUUGUUAAAAUAAUUGAAAGUUUUAUGUAGCUCAGGUGGUUUAAUGGUCAAAGUUUCAAAAUUGAGAUUUUGGGUUCGAUUCUUGGGGAACUAAGUUUUUUAACAAUUAAUUGAAAAAUGCAUAGAUAAGUAGCUCCACAUGACAAAAAUAUCCACGUCAUCGGUGCCACGUGUGCCACGUAGGCAGGUCAACGCACCUGGGGGCUCAAUAUCCAAAUUUUCAAACAGAAAAAGGGCUCAAUUUGCGUUGACAAAAAAAAAAGGGCUCAAUACCCAAAAACACCUAAAGUUCAGUGAUCACAUUUGCAUUUACAUAAAGGUACAAUCAAUAUAACGAUCGAGAAAUUUGAAAUUUAAUUUUAAUAUUUAUGGAAUUAAAUAAAUAUUUAAAAUUAUUGAGGAAAAUAAAUAUUUGAUGAAUUGUCAUAAAUUAAUUUAGUAGCUAAAUUAAUUAAUGUUAAUUGAAUCGAGUAAUGAUAAUUUUAUUUGUUGGAUUUAAUUUAAGGAGAUAAUUAAAUUAAAUCAAUUGCUUAAUAUUUAAGAAAUUAGUUAAAUUAAAUGAAUUGUUUAAUUUAAAGGAAAUAAAUAAAUUAAAUAUAGUGAUGUGUCUAAUUUAUUAAUUAAAUUAGAUAUAUAAUUAUUUAUUAAUGAUAAUAAGAUUUUUAUUAUUAGUAUUAUAAGUUAUUUAAAUUAACUAAACUAAGUUAUUUAAAUUAAUUAACUAAAAGUGUGAUAUAAAACUAUGUAAUAUAAAUGUUAUUAAAAUAAUUUAGUUUGGGGAAAGUUGGUUAGCCAAACCAGGCCUUAUGGCCUUUGGCAUUAUUCCAACUGACGAGUCUUUUUAUUUUUCUAACGUAAGGGAACGUGGGAGCAGCUAGCUUAUAUUUUUCCUACGCAUAUUAUUUUCUAAGGCUAGCAUUCAGUUUCUUUUAUUAUUCACGUAUUUGACUAAGGAGGAAGAGCAGAGUUGAGAGAAAAGAGAGAGCGUAAGAAUUGAGAGAGAAGAAGAAUUACAAGGAACUUGAGAGAUUGAGAGGAAACCUAAGCAAUUUCAGUGUUAACAAGGGUUAAACAUAUUGAAGGUAUUCUAUCUAACCCUUGUAUUAUAUAUAUAUAUAUAUAUAUAUAUAUAUAUAUAUAUAUAUGAACUUACGGCAAAUUUGUUAUGUUUUGUUAAUUGUAAUUCUUUCAAAAUUGUUGUGUAACUAAAGUAUGGUGGAUGUGUGGUAUAAUGCUAGAGUUUAUGUUUAAAACGAGAAGUUUGUAUGCUAAAUUCGUUGACAGUAGGAAGAAAAUUUUGACAGUAUAUGUGUUUCAUAUGGUUCAUGGAAAAGUAUUAAUUUUGAUGGCCAAUUCUUAUGUUAAACUAUAAAUUUAAGCUUGUAUAUGUUAGUUCGUUGAGAUACGAGCAUAACGUAAUUUGAAGGAGGUGAUUUGGUCAAAUAAUGAAUUCACAGUGAUGAUUUUUGGGAUAGACUAUCAAAAAUGGAGUUUUAUAUAAAAAACAUGAAAAUUGAGAAAUUAAAAUAGUUUUAGUUGUUGUUAAUUUGUGCUAAGUGGUUGAAUAUGUUAGCAAUCAUGUUUAUGAUAGUUGUAUAUUUAUUUUUCAUGUUGUUAUCACCGUUUGAUGGAUGAAAUUGGUGUUUGUUGGGCUAAAGUCGGCUACUGUUCAUUAGCCUUCUCUGCGUCUGUCUGAACACCGACGCAACUGCGCCGGUGCCAAGGCAAAAAACGACGCAGCUGCGCCGGUCCCAGGCUUAAGUAUGGCGCAGCUGUGCCAUACCCUGGUCUGAGACAGUGAAGUCUGCUUAUUUGCAGAUCAUGUGUAAUGGACUUAUAUUAGUUUAGCAUGCAUGUUAAUGAUGUUGAGGCAUAAUAUAAACUACAAUAACAGAUUGUCAUGCGUUGUUAUAUAAAGUGUAAAAGAAUUUAAGUGAUUACUUGAAUAAGUUUUGUAAUGAACCAAAUGUGACGUUUUCAAAAGUUAAAUAUAAAUGAUAAGGUUUAUAGUGUGAUUGCAGAAUUGUUAAGGUGUUAACCAACGUGGUUAGGUGCUAGGUUAGGGUUAUGACCUAAAUGUUGGUUUAAACCCUAAAAGCUAAUAUUCAUACAAUUAAUUGUUGUUGUGAUUUCAAUGAUAUGUGUAGGGUAAUUGGAGAUUAUCUUACAUUUGUGUAGCUUACAAAAAAGGCAAGUUUUCUAACUCUACCUUGUUAUUAUUGAGCAAGUUCUUAAAUCUUAACUCUUUACAUUGAGCAAAACUUUCUAACUUCAUUAUUUUCAUAUUAAAUGCAAGUUUCCAUUCCUAAAUUAUUAUUGUGCAAGUUCCUAACAUUCUUUAUGAAGUUGAGCAAGCUUAACCUAUCUUGCGUAUGUUUGUACAAGCUUAUAUAACCUAAUUCGUUACGUUGAGCGAGAUUUAGUUUCCUAAUUAUUAUUUAAAGCAUAUAUUGUUCUAAAACAUUGAUUCAAGGGAGAUUGUUUUAACUCUUCUAUAGCGCUUUGCAUGUAUAUCAUGUUUACUCAAUUAUAUAUUAUUGUUAUUCAAUAUUUGACUUUGAUAACCUUGUUCAAAGCUUUAUCGUUGUAUUAAACCUUCAAUUAGUAAGAAAACAUUUAUUAAUUGAAUUAAUCUAUAUUCGAAUAGUGUUCUAAAAUUCUAGAAACACUGAUAAGCUAGUUCCAAACUAAACUUUCUUUAGUGCGGAAAUUCUAAAUCCAAACUGAGACGAACAACCCUAACAUAGGGGAUUUUGUACGUGUAACAUUUAGAUGUUUGUACACAAUACAUGGUACAAAGGGCUGAUCCCCCUAAGUACGUUAAGAAGGGUCCGUAUAGUCUAAAUGACUGUUAAGGUUGGGUAAUAAUACCUAAGUACCGGGGACAUAGUCCAUGGUCUUAAGACCCUCAGAUAAUUAAAGUUCGAACUUUUUUUCUAGUUUGAUUUGUAGAACAAAUUCCUUAUUGUUCAGCUUUUGUUGUUCACUCUCAUGUUACUACCAUUGCUACUUUCUAUAUUAGUGAGCAUUUGUUUGCUCACUCUUGCAAUUAACACUGUAGCUAAAGUGGAGAAAGUUGAUGAGUCAUCGACUAGCAAAGGCAAGGGCAAGAUGUCCAAAUGAUGAAGACUUAUGAGAAUUUUAUUUUAAUGAAUUAUGUUAAAGACUUGUUUUAAUAUGUGAUGUAUUCCGCAAACUUAUGUAAUAAUUUUAAGGUUAGAUUAUCUGGGAUUUAUUUUGAGAUGAUGAUGUAACCCUUUAAUGGGGAAAAUUAUUGUUUAAGUUAUUUAAAAUUAUGUCUUUAUCCUUUAUUAUGGGUAGUUAGAUGUAAUAGUUUGUGAUAAGUGAGCACCAAAUCCUGUGGGAAUGGAGUACCUGGAUUUGGGGGUGUCACAAUCAAUAACUAUUUUAGGAAUUAAAAUUUUUAAAAAAUGCUCAAGGAAGCCUUCAUACAUGGGAGGCCAUGCAUUUAUGUUAUGAUAGAUAUCAUUUGACUUGAGAAUUAACCUUGGUUGACUCAAUAGACCCCAAAGAAGAACGAGAAUAUUACUAUCCUGUUCAUUCCAAUGGUGUGUAUCUUUUUGCCAUAUAAUUAUCUCCAUUGACUCAAACUGAGGAUUAUAUUCUAACCAUACUCCAAGAUUAUAUAGAUAAUGUUCAUAGAUAUAGUCAGCAAGUGGAUGCACACAACUAUAUCUUAUGAUAACACGGAUUUGUAUGUGGUUAAACAUCAUAUAUGAUAGUAUAUGAUAUAUGAUAUGUCCUCCCAGUAUAAUUAUGUCCUCCUCAUUAUAAUGGUGUGCAUUUUUGAUGCUUCAAAAGUCGGAUUCUCAUCACCUUAUUGUUGUUCACCAAAAUUAACUAUUAAAUGACGUAUAAAAUACGACACACACAUUUUAAGUCCUCAAUACAAUUAUAUAUUAUCAUGCUAUUUUAUAAUGUAUUGAGAAACUUCAACAGACACAGACUAUAACUCUAUUCCCCUGUUAUCCCUGCUCAAUCCAGCUACACUUUUAUUACCUGAAAGAAAUUGUGAAGCAAAAGGGUGAGCACAAAUAGACCAGUAAAGAAUAUUAUGACUAAAGAUAAUUAAAUUAUCAAUAGUCGUCAUCAGUAAUAAUAUAUAAAAUAUUUAGAACAUAUGGUAGAUGAUAAAAGUUUUCAAGCAUAAUUACAGCGGAAUCAACAAUCUAUUAGAAGAGUCAAGUAGAACAUAAUGUCUACUAUCUCCUCCAAAUUAAAAGUCCAUCAUUAAUAUUUCAUUCCUGUAAUACCCAUCAAUGGUUCUUUGUUGUACCCAAAACAAAGAGAACUUUUAUCACCUUUCUUCACCUGAACCACCAAAGAUUAUAGUUAAAAUCAUAAUUCAUGUUUAUAAUAAUGUAAAUCAAUAGUUUCUCCUUGCCACAAAGGGUUAAUAGAACUUUCACUCAAUGUUCUUGUCAUAAAGGCUAAAGACACUCAAUAAUCAUAUCGUCUUUACACCUUGCACUAAAGACAUUCAAUUGUAACAAUAAUUGUCAUGAUCAUACCAAUCAAUUAUCUAUCUUUGCACUACGUGCCAAAGAUAUUCAACUGUAAUAUCAGUGGUCAUGAUCAUACCAAUCAAUUGUCUAUCUUUGCACUACGGGCCAAAGAUGUUCAGCUGUAAAACUAAUAAUCAACAGUCCAUCUUUUCACUAUGAACCAAAGAUAUAUAACUGUAAAAUCAAUAAUCAACAGUCCAUCAUUGCACUACGGGCCAAAGAUAUACAACUGUAAAAUCAAUAAUCAAUAGUUUAUCUUUGCACUACGGGCCAAAGACAUAACCUUGUAAAUCCAAUAAUCAGCUGUUCAUCUUUGCACUACAGGCUAAAGACAUACAACUGCAACACCAAUGAUCAUGAUUAUACCAAUACACAAUUCCGUUCAUGGUUAUACCAAUACACAAUUCAUGUUCAUAAUCAUACCAAUCAAUAGUUCAUCUUUGUACUAUGGGCCAACGAUAACUUUCCAACAUAAAUUUAAGUCUGAGGAUGAUAACAAUGAUAUAAAGAAUGAAUCAAGUGAGAUCAAGAAUAAAUAUUAAAAAUUUAUAAUUCAAUUUAUCCAAAGUUCAGGAAUGUCCAAAUUGUUAACAUGAUAACUAAUUGUAGAGUAAAAUUCAAGAAUGAUAUUCAUGUAUCAAAAAUAAUUUGGACAGAAAAAAAUAAAUUUUGUCGUGAAUAGUACCCCGAAUAUUCAAUACACUCAUUAUUUUUUGAUGUACAUCAUAUAUUCUUGAUGUAGAAGAUCAACCACACUUUCACUCAAUAGAAAUAUUAAUCACCUGAGUCUCUCUGAAAUUUUCAACUACUCCAUGAGAGUACAUUGCAAGCAAAGGUUUUUAGCGAUUAAUUCCUAGUGAAUUAAGAGUUCAUUGCUUAAAAGGGUUGUUUCCUUGAGAGAUGAACACUGAAAACCUUUGCAAGCAAUGAACGCUCGGGGUUGGGAGUGUGGUCAACUUACAGAGUUAGAUCUAUGAGUCCCUAACAUCUCUAAUUGAAAUUUCUAAAUUAUCCGGUCCUUGUAUAUUUUUCGGUGGACAGUUUCUACCAAAACAAGACAAAGCUGAAAAAACCGAAAAACCCUACUGCCCUAAAAUUUUUGUGGGUUGUUUGGGCCACUUAAACAUUGAAAUAAAUUUAGGCCUUUUGGGAAAUGAAAAUAUAUGAUAUAAUGAAACUCUGGUCAGAAGAUGAACAAAUUCCUACAUCAGACGAAGGAGUUAUGACCAAUUCAAUAUUAGGAUUUUUCAGAUAAAAACUGUCAUAACUUGAGUUCUACAACUCUGAUGACCACAAAAUUAAAAAUGGAAAUUCAUGUUAAUAUGUAUAAAAUUCUUCCAAGACUUGGGAAUUUUUGGAGUUGAGCAUGAUAUAGUUCAUUUUACUAAGUUACGUACUAAAAUGGCUCUUUGAAAAAUAAGAAAAUUGAAAAAUUGUAAUACAAUUAUUUUUUUGUGGAAAAUAUAUAGGUAUGUGUGUCCAGGCAGAGAAAAAAAAUAAUAUAAUGGUUAAGGAGGCCUAAUGAAGAAAAUAAAGUUACGAGAAGGUAAAAUAAUUACUUACCGACAAGUCUGGAAUUAUUAAAAUAAUUUAUAUCGGCUAGAAUAUGUUGACAUUUGACGUAUGAGUUUAUGUAAAGGUUAAUCACAUAUUUUUAUGAGAAUCUUAUAAUUAUCACGUUUAUGUUUGUUUAAGUCGAAAGAUUAAUUAUCAGAAUAGGUUACGAUAAUUACCGGCGAUAUAUAAUUAUUAUAAAGUGAUGAUUAGUUUAAUCAUAUAAAUUGUCAUGAAUAAUGUAGCUUAUCAUUUGAAGGAAGUUAUCAUUGCGUUUCCACGGGGUAGAACCUCCUCAGGGGGGGGGGGAGACCCGGGGAAAUCCCCUGAGGGGCAUCCGGAGCGCCGGAGGAAAGAAGCGCAAGGGCGUGAAGCUUUCCGUGGACAGGACAGGGUCCGUCAACUAGCUUAGCUACCGAUUGGGGGAUGCUUUCACCUUGAAGGUAUUAACGGGCUUGAGCCAGGCCACGCAAGCAAAGGAAAGAUUAAUUAUAGNNNNNNNNNNNNNNNNNNNNNNNNNNNNNNNNNNNNNNNNNNNNNNNNNNNNNNNNNNNNNNNNNNNNNNNNNNNNNNNNNNNNNNNNNNNNNNNNNNNNUCUGCUCUUUCCGGUAAGUGAGUAGGGCCAGUCCCACACGAUUAGCAUAGAUAAGACAAGUCAGGUAGGAUUGGUCGGAGAAGGAUUGGACAUUUCCAUUGAUCAGCUCAUCCAAUCCAGUCUAUGAUCAGGCAAGGGGGCCUAAAAGUAGACGUAACUAUAGGCUUAAGCUCGCUUAAAUGCAAUUUAUCCUUAGGCCGAAUACCUAGUUGAGAGGGGUCCCUAAUGUGAGACCCUUCGUCCAUUCAUUCAGGAUCAAAAGCGGGCCUAAUUGAAUCAUCUCAUCGAGGAUUGCAUGUGAAAAGAUCGGAUCUUCGAAAUCCCCAAUCGUUCGUUACUGAACCUAAAAACUCGCCGCUUCUCAUGUAAAGUAGUGUUCUCGCUAGCUGGAACGGAACUCUCAAAUGGAGGAACAAGCGUAGGCCUUCUUUGAGUAUAGCUUCAAGUAGCUCUAAGAAGUUUACGUCUCGGUUCGGCACUCGGCUUUCUGAAGUUCUUCCAUUCCAGGGCGUGAAGCUUUCCGUGGACAGGACAGGGUCCGUCAACUAGCUUAGCUACCGAUUGGGGGAUGCUUUCACCUUGAAGGUAUUAACGGGCUUGAGCCAGGCCACGCAAGAAAAGGAAAGAUUAAUUCUAGGCCAGUGAAAUGAAUUAGAUGGAAAAACACCGAUACAGAUAAGUUUUUCAGAACUUUUUUUUAUGUGUAAACUUAUUAAUUGUUAUGGGGAAGUACUUUAUGUAUUAUAUGUAAUUCUUAUGAAUUGUUUAAGAGGUGCACUAUGUGUUUUAGUGUGAUACGAAUUUAUUGAAAUUAAUUGAUGAUUGAAGUUAGUUUAGUUAUGAAAACUUACUAUAUUGUGAUAUGAGGAAUAUGAUAUGUGAUGCCCCCAAAUUCGGGUACUUGAAACCCUUAUUUAGUGCUUCAUGAUAUCAAGUAUUCAACAUAAUAUAAUAUCAAACAUAAUAAAUUUAUUACAUCAGAGUACUUCUAAUCCCAGGUACGUAGACCUAUAAGUGCUUAUUACAUGAUAGUUAAAUAUUUACAACAUAUAUAAACUAUCUACUACAUAAUAUUCCAGUUAUGACAUAACUUUUCCCUUUCCCCUGUCCUUACUAGACCCCUCUGCCUGAGCCUUAUUAGCUGAAAACAUUUAUAAAAAAAAGUAAGAAUGAGCAUUCAAUUGCUCAAUAAGUAAUAACAUUCUUUAAUAGCUCAACAAUAAAUAAAUGUUUUCUUUGAAGCAUGCUUUGACAGUGAAACAAAUAUGUAAACCAAAUAAAUCUUAAAUUAUCCAUACUCUUGGAAUCAUCAUAUCAAUUUUGAAUAGCUGAGAGGUCAUAAGACCAUGAACAUGAAUUUUUUUUCUUGAAAAGGUUCUAUCAGAAAUUUAUAUAUGAACCGUCUUAUCUUAUGGGCAUGGUGGGUGAUCAGCCCUUUAUGCCCUGUAUUGAUCAAUAUUCUUAUCCAAAAUAAUUUUUAUGUUCAACGUCACCACUCCUAGAGUGAAAUAAAAAUAUCCCACAAUAUAGUUGGAUAGCUUAAAUCAUGGCACAAUAAUAUUUUAAGAAUUAUUAUAAAGAAAUUGAAAUAUUUUACAUCUGUGUUUGGCCAGAACAAAUGGCUCAGACUUCCUUGUAAUCUGUUCAUGCAUAUUGAAUUUCAUUUGAUAUACAUGAAAAUACAUAACCCAAUCUUUUGAAGCUGAUUGGAAUAAAAAGGUUAUUUAACCUUGUAUUAUUCAUAAAGAAUGAGAGACAGUUCAAAAUUUAGAGAACAUAUCCAUAUAUGAAUAAUCCCAGAAUACUUGUGUUAGUUCCCAGUAGGCGCGAUAAAUAUCUAGAAGGGGGGGUUGAAUAGAUAAUUAAAUCUUUUUCUUUUAAUCUUUUUAAGUUGAUGGUAUUCAAUGCACAGCGGAAUGAGUAUAUGUGAAAAACCUUCUGUUAUAUAUCUUAAGUUAAUGAGAUUGAGGCAGUUAUGACAGUUAUAGCAGAUAUUGCAGUUAUAGCAGUUAGUGAACACAAUAGUUGUAAGUGGUUCAGAGCACUAAAAGCUCAUAGUCCACUCUUUUACUCCUUGAGUAGGAAAUCCACUAAGGAUGUCUGUUACACUUCUUGAAUCUCACAGAUUCUUUCUAGACCAGCAGUCUAGGUACUUCUUAGUUCACUCUUGAACUCUUCAAGUCCAGCAGACUUGGUCUCUCAUAGUUCACUUAGAACUCUUCAAGUCCUUCAGACCUGGAACUCUUACUUCAGUUGAUUGAAUGUUGUUUAGAUCGUGAUUGAUGCUAUUCAGUUUCUAGUAAGCACUUGUUUGAAAGAACUGAAUAGCUGAGCAAGCUUCCUUUUUCUCAGAUCGUAGAGUUGAGCGUUGAGUGUUCUUAUGCAUUUUUUUUGUUUAAUACUUGCUUCUUCUUUCUUAUCUGUCUUUGAUCUGUAUAUAUGUGAUCUUGAAAUCUAUCCGUUGAAGUCAUCUGAUGAGCCAUUAAAUGCAUUUGACAUUUCUGAGCUUUGAUGGAGACUUUUUUGCACAUCUUCUGAAUUACACUCUAGCCCACUGACACAGUAGACUGCUUUUUCCCCUAACACCUUAAAAGGUGUUUUCCUCUGCCCAAUGGUCCUUUUCUUAGCUUAUUGAGUACGUUUCUUUUGAUCAAUACUAAGGAUAUCUUUUGUACGUUGGGACUGGUGAGAGCUUCAACGUUCAAAACCCAUUCCAUAUUUGUUGGAGUCCAUCUUCAGAUGAACGAUAGGGCUUGAUGUUUCUGACACAAAACAGAUGACACUCUACUAUCAAUAUCAUAGUGUCUUCUCAUAUUGGUGCCUGUUCGUAAGAGAUCACUACGAUUUCUCACAAGGAUUUUCACACUAUGUUCUUCACUUACUCGUCUUGCAAACUCUACAUUUUCGAGAGCACACUACGAUAUUUUAACACUACGAUCUUCACUUGCUCGUCUUGCAGAUUCUGCAUUUUCGAGAGCACACUACGAUCUCUAGUUUCGGCAAAAGUCUGGACCACACUUCGAUUCGUGGAGAGGCCCUUCAAGGCAGAUACACUACGAUCAUCUCAGCACUACGAUCCUGCCUUAGCUUCUGCAUUCUAUUGAUCAACCGGAUAGACUGCGAGUCUAUCUAUUUCUUUCUAGCCAUAGAUCAACCUAACAGAUUUGAUCUCUUUAUCUAUACAAGUGAACAUUAAAGACUAAGAUCAACCUAACACUUUUGAUCUAUCACUAAGUCCUUGUACAUAUAUUCUUUGAAGGACUUUACAUAAUCAUGAGUAGUUUCAUAAAACAUCAAAUCACAAUAUGCAUUCUUCCAACAAUCUCCCCCUAUUUGAUGUUGACAUAACCAAGGAGAUUUGUUGUCAUGAUUAUAAAGUUUUAUAUGCAGUUGCAGAAAAAUAAACAUGACUUAGCAUUUCAGUGAGCAGCUGAAAUUUUUAAAGAAUAAGCAUGAAUUUAUUGAUGUAUGGAGACAAAUUUUACAUUUAAGAAUGACUACAUCAAUACAAUUUGAAAUUCAACUUAUCUCUAUUUCUUUGGCCUUUUGCUUCUUGGAGGAUUUGCAUAUUCCUCAGCUCUCCUCUUUCUGCUUGCUUCAUCUCUUCUGGCCAUAUCUUCCAGCUCACUUGGGCUUAGCCUUGGAUUGUGAUCAUGUCUAUUCAUGAAUGCAGGAUCUCUAAUUGGCAUUCUUAGACCUGUUGUUGUUACCGUAUGAGAGCUGGUGGCUGGCCCUAGACUCCUUAAGGGUUGAGCCAUUAAUAUUUCCUGCUGAUCAGAUCAUUGAGUCUGAUGGCUGGAUUGUGGAGUCUGCUGGUGGAUUUUCCUUACAGAAGGAUUCCUUGAGGAUUGAGGUUGGAGACCUCUACCUUUUCCUUUGCCUCCUGAUCUCCUCCUUUACCUUUAUUCUCCCCCUUUAUGUCAACAUCAAGGGUUCGAAUGUCAUCUGAAAGACGAUUAAGGCCUUGAACAAGCUCGUUGAGCUGACUCUUGGUCUGAGCAAUGUCUUCUCUAUUUUCUUUGAUUAGAGCUUCAGACCUAGCUUCCCUUUGCUGAAGGAUGGAGAGAAUGUUGUCUGUUUGCUCGCCAUUGCUGACAUAGAAUUGUUGAAAUUCUUUGACAGCAGUCUGAAGAUUUUGGAUGCUUUGUAUCAUUAGUUGGUUCUGAGAUUCUUGAGUUUUCUAUAGAAUCAAGACAACAUCCCGAUGUCUUUUAGCUGUGAGGAAGUGAAUAUCAUCCCUGUCCUUUAUGCUUUGUAGCAUUUCUUUGAUAAUCUCUUUGAGUGUUUUAGACAGUUCGGAGCUCAGGGAGCUUGGAAGAUUGUUUGCAGCAUUGAUCAUUGAUGUCAAUCUUAGCUGUAUCAAUGCAGUAUGAUCUUCAAGGCUCUCAUCUAGUUUUUUGAUCACUUUCUCAGACAUGGCUGACAAAUCAGCCUUUGUGGAUAGUUCUGAUAGGAAUUCAUCUAGAUUUGGAAUCUGUGAGGGAGGUGGCGUGCUCUUGAAUUUAUAUUGCAGUGAGUAGAGAGAAAGUUCAAGAUUGAAGCAUUCAUUUCUAGAUGAGGAGGGAAUAUCUGAAGGAGGGGCCUGUGUUUGGAUGUUGGAGCUUAGUGACUCUACGAUUUGUGGUGGAUACUCUACCAGGGGUCUAGAGUGAGGGAUCGUAGAGGUAGUAGGCUGAGUGAGCAUUAGGGAGUUAAUCUUAUUUGGUUCCUCAGUUACAGAAUUUUGAGAUUCUGUAACUAGAAUUGAUUCAGUUGAUGAAGAAUUACUUCCAACCAUUGCGGGAAUUCAUAGAAUUGAUUAAAUGAGGGUGGUGGCAAGUGAUUAAUUCUGACAGGAGUGGGGAUAUAUAAUACCUCAAGUGUGUUCUCUGAGGAAGGGCUGUUGGAGAGAAGCUUCUUGGCAAAAUUGAAUUUCCCUGGGAAUCCAUUUGCAAGUACUGAGAUAGCUGGAUACUCUUUGAAACUCCAGAACAUGUGAUCCCAAGAGUUCAGAAUUUGAGCUCGGUGGAAAGGCAUCAUAGGAAGAUAUGCAAAUAGUUGCUCAUAGGUGGAUCUUCUGUGCCCAUGAAUGCCUACAGCUAUAAUCUCAAUCUCAUCAUCUUCUUCUCUGUUUUCACUAGAGGAUUCCAUUAUGUCGAUUGCUUUAGGUUCUUCAUUAUCUCCUCCAGGAAUUUCUUUUUCAGCUAUUGAGGUGUCAUGAUCCUCCCCCUCAGCUUGAUCAUUCUUUUGAAAUGUCAAUAGCUCCCCCUCAACUGGAGCAUCCUCUGGUGGAAGAUCUUUAGGCAUCUCCCCCUCAGUAUGAGCACCUUCUAUCAUUAGAUCUUUAGGUGUCUCUCCCUCAGCAGGAGCCAUGACUACUUGACAUUCACUUGCUGGUUCCUUUUUAGCACUCAGUUCUUUUGCUUCCCUUCUUAGCACUUCUUCAUUGGCAAGAAUAUACUUCUUAACUAGUUUCCUUCUUGGCCUUUUAGGCUGUGCUACAGCCUCAGGACUCUCUUUAGUUGUGUCCUUCAGAUCAGCUAAGAUAUUUGAUGCAGUUGCUUCCUUGUUUGGUCUAGGCUCUACGAUCGGAGGAGACUUGACGAUCGAAGAGACUUGACGAUCGAAGAGGCUGAUGGCUUUUUACUUUUGUGGCUGGUCUUACUCAUCUUCAGCAACUGAGAUAUAGUUGCUCUAUCUUCUUCUGCCUCUGCUUGCUGUUCCUUUCUCCUUAGGAUCCUUAGAGUCUCAAUUUCUGAGGACUCUACAGGCUUGUUGGUGGUGGAUCCUUGAGGUUCUUCUGUAGUUCUGGCUUUCCUUUUCCCUUUGCUCUUUCUGAUUAAAGCAAUGGGUUCUCCCUGGUUAGUUUCUUCUUCUUCUUCCUCAGUUUCCUUGACAACAGACAUAUUCUCUGGCACUCCUGUUCCUUUUAUCUCACCAGUUCGACCACUGGAUUCAGACAUCAACUUCACAUUUUCAGCUGGAUUUCUCUUCCAGUUUUCAAACAACUGUUGGGUCAUUCGUCGAUUUGGGUUUAUGGCUUCUCCUUCAUCAUCCUCAAUCAGGUCACCAAGAGUAGCCUAUAGGAUAAUGAUGAUAAAUCGUCCGUAGAGCAUCUUCUGAGAGCUCUUUGUCUUCUUGGAGCUAACCAACCAUUUUCUAAUCCAUUCAAGUAAUAAAGCCCCAUAGUUUAGUUAAAUUUUAUAGCAUAUGGAAGUCAUGAGUUUGAGUUGUAUUUCAUUCACAGAGUCAUGACCUGAGCUUUUACAACAUAUGCAUUUUCCAACAAUGUUAGCCAAAAACUCAUACCUCUAUGGAAACUCCUUCUUUUUGUAUCCUUUGACAGAGGGUGAUUUCUUGUGAUGCAUUUUCUUGAGACCUUUAUGGAAGUCUAUUCCAUCUAAGGAUGGAUACCCUUCAGAUUUGAGCCCUAGGGCUAGAUUGAUGUCUUCAGCUCUUAAUUUGAUUUGGACGUUCCUUACUUUCAUGGUGAUGGUGUUGUUUUCAAACACUCCGUUAUUUUAGAAUUCUUUUACCAGCUUUGGGUAGAUCAAUGUGUCAGUACCCAAGGCUUCUUCGAGACCUGCCUUCUUUAGUAGCGACAAUGUCUUGUGAAAUUGGGGUUCAACCAUUUUAAACUCGUCGAAACACAGUCUGUAGCAGGAGACAACACUAGAAGCUGCCAUUGAUUUCUUUGUAGGAAGUGAGGCUGACAGAGCUUGCUACUGAUUUAGGGUUUCUGCUUGAGAGAGGAAGAGAGAGAUGGUCUUUUGAACUUCAUAUUUCAAAAAGGCGAUUUUAAUUUGUACCUGAAACUUCCCUCUCUUUAUUUUGCUUAGUGGGACAGGUGUCAAACUUUGCUUGGCUGUACGAAUUCUUGACAGAGAAGGAUUGUACUGAAUUGCCCUUAACUUCUUCUGGGAUGAUGUAUUCAUUAGUGGGACUACGAUCGUUGAGAUGGUCCUUGGAGUCGUCGAGUCUGUUCUACCAUCGUUGAGUCUGUGUAGCAGUCGUCGUGUCUGAGCUGUAAACGUAGAGUCUGAACUACGAUCAUUGAGUCUGACUGGCAAUCGCAGAGUUUGAAAAAGUCCUUGUGAUGAAUCUUUUUGACUUGGCAUUUUCCUUAAAUUAAGGUAGCUCAGGAAGGGCCAACCUCUUGAAAGAAACAAGGGUUAGGUUUGUUCCUGAGGAACUUAUCAGAGAGAAUGCUUUGAUUUAAUCUUGAUCAUCAUAGGGAGCUCCUUUUGUUUUGUUGAUGUAGUUCUAUUAUCGUUGAGUCUGCACUAUGAUCGUUGAUUCUGUUCAGCAUUCGUUGAGUUUUAUAUACUUUGGCUCUACGAUCGUGGACUUCCUUUGAUCAUGUCUUUUAUUUCAAAUACAACCUUUAAAUCUAUAUGGUUAGCAUAAAAUAAAGCAUAAUAUUUCAUGUUUGCAAGUUAAGCAUGCCUAGCUCACUUAUCAGUUUGUUGAAUCUGGAUUCAUCUAAAGGUUUUGUAAAAACAUCAGCAAGUUGAUUUUCAGUAGGGAUAUAUUGUAAAGAUAUUGUUCCAUUUUGUACAUGAUCCCUAAUGAAGUGAUACCUUAUUUCUAUAUGCUUAGUCCUAGAAUGCAUGACAGGAUUAUGAGUUAUAACAAUUGCACUUGUGUUAUCAUAAUGAAUAGGUAUGGAUUUGAAUUCAAACCCAUAAUCUGCUAGCUGAUUUUUUAUCCAUAGAAUCUGCGCACAGCAACUACCAGUAGCAAUGUAUUCAGCUUCUGCAGUUGAGGUAGAUACUGAGUUUUGCUUCUUGCUAAACCAGGACACAAGUCUGUUACCUAGUAAUUGACAAGUGCCACUGGUACUUUUUCUAUCUAUUUUGUAGCCUGCAAAAUCAGCAUCUGUAUAACCUGUUAGCUCAAAUGAGGAUUCCUUGGGAUACCAAAGCCCCAAGUGGGGUGUACCUUUGAGGUACCUGAAAAUCCUCUUUACAGUAGUUAAAUGAGAUUCUUUAGGACAUGCCUAAAAUCUAGCACAAAUGCAUGUUGCAAAUAUUAUAUCUGGUCUACUGGCAGUAAGAUAUAAAAGAGAACCUAUCAUACCUCUGUAUUGAGUUAUAUCAAUACUUUUACCUUUUUCAUCUUUGUUAAGCUUGGUUGCAGGAGCAAUUGGGGUUUUCAUGGGAGAGGCUGAUUCCAUACCGUACUUCUUGAGUAAGUCUUUAAUGUACUUGGCUUGGUUUAUGAAAAUUCCUUCAUCAGUCUGCUUUACUUGCAGUCCAAGAAAGAAGUUUAGCUUACCCAUCAUGCUCAUUUCGAAUUUGCUCUGCAUAAGCUUGGAGAAUCUCUUGCAUAACUUUUCAUUAGUAGAACCAAAGAUAAUAUCAUCAACAUAAAUUUGAACUAAUAGGACCUUAUCUUUAUGCUUUCUAAGAAAUAGUGUGGUAUCUAAUUUACCUCUAGUAAAUCCAUUUUCAAUAAGAAAGUUAGUCAGUGUUUCAUACCAUGCUCUAGGUGCUUGUUUGAGACCAUAUAAGGCUUUGUCUAAUCUAAAGACAUAAUUAGAAAGAAAUGGAUUGAUGAAACCUAGAGGCUUCUCUACAUUGACUUCUUCUUGAAGUUCACCAUUCAAGAAUGCACUUUUGACAUCCAUCUGAAAGACUUUGAACUUCAUGUGAGCAGCAAAGGCAAGGAAUAUUCUGAUGGCUUCUAGUCUGGCAAUAGGUGCAAAUGUCUCAUCAUAGUCAAUACCUUCUUUCUGAGAGUAGCCCUUGGCUACUAGUCUAGCCUUAUUCCUUGUUAUCACCCCAUCUUCAUCCAUCUUGUUUCUGAAGACCCACUUGGUUCCAAUUACAUGAUGGUUCUUUGGUCUUGGGACCAAUUUCCAAACUUUGCUUCUCUCGAACUGAUUAAGUUCUUCCUACAUGGCCUCUAUCCAGCUGGAAUCUUCCAUAGCAUCCUCUAUCUUCUUUGGUUCUAUUUGAGAUAGGAAGCUUAGAUAGAAGCAUUCAUUUUGAGUAGCAACUCUUGUCUUGAUUCUUGCGUUCGGAUCUCUAAUGAUUAGAUCUUGAGUGUGAUCUCUUGCCCAUCUGCUUCCUGUUGGAACAUCCAUUUUUAUGCCUUCUUGUCUCAGAUCUUCAAGAUUUAUUUCUUCUUCUUGAUGUGGAGGUUCAUUGUCUGGCAUAGGCCUCUCUACGAUCUCAUUCUCUUGCUUAACGAUUUCAUUAUUGGGCACUACGAUCAUAGUAUUGGGCUCGACGACCUCGUUCGCAUUGUCUUGGAGCACUAUUUUGUCUAAGUCUGUUUCAUCAAAGAUGAUGUGAAUUGAGACUUCUACACUCAGUGUCUUCUUGUUGAACACUCUGUAGGCAUUGCUGUCUGUGGCAUAUCCAAGAAAGAUUCCUUCGUCUGAUUUCGGUUGAAACUUUGUCAAGUACUUCUUUCCAUUGUUGAGUAUAUAGCAUGCACAGCCGAACACAUGAAAGUAGCUGACAUUUGGCUUUCUUCCUUUCCAAAGUUUAUAAGGAGUCUUCUUCAUCGUAGAGAGUAUGAGUGAUCUGUUCUGAGUAUAACAUGUAGUGUUGACCGCUUCUGCCCAGAAGUACUCCGGUAGAUGAGCUGCAGCUAGUAGAGUCCUUCCAGCCUCUAUUAAUGUCCUGUUCUUUCUCUCAGCAACUCGAUUUUGUUGGGGAGUUCAUGGAACUGAGAAGUUGUGACUAAUCCCAUUGUUUGUGCAGAACUGAUCCAUUUUUGAGAAAUCGAAUUCUCUGCCAUGAUCACUUCUUAUGUUCUUGAUUUUCUCUCCUUUCUCAUUCAUCACCAGCUUGAACAUCUUGAUUAGUUGGGGGCUUGUUUCAUUUUUUGAGGUUAGAAAAAAUACCCAUGUAAAUGUGGUGUAGUCGUCGACUACGACCAGUGAGUAUCUCUUUCCCCCAUGGCUCAUCAUUGGAAUUGAUCCAAAAAGAUCCAUAUGUAGUAAUUACAGAGGCUUGUCAAUUGAGUUGAUGGUUUUUCUCUUAAAUAAGCUUCUGGUCUGUUUCCUAAGUUGACAGGCAUUGCAGGGCCUUUCUUUAACGAAGUUGAAUUUGGGUAGGCCUGCAACUAGAUCUUUUGAAGCUAAUUUGGACAUGCUUUUGAAGUUGAGAUGAGAUAAUCUUCAAUGCCAUAGCCAGCUCAUUUCUUCAGAUGCUUUAGUCAUAAAGCAUAUUGUCUCGUCUGAGCUUAGUUGUCCAAGAUUUACUGUGUAGACAUUUCCUUCUCUUGUUCCGGUUAGCUUUACUGCAGAUGUCUUCAGGUCUCGGACUUGACAUUGAUUGUUGAUGAAUGUUACUUGAUGACCCUUGUCAUAGAGUUGGCUAAUGCUUGGAAGGUUGUGCUGUAGUCCUUCCACAUAGGCCAAUUUACUGAAUGAUACUGCACCAUUUUCGGCUGAGCCAUAGCCUCUUGUCUUGCCAGUGCCAUUAUCUCCAAAUAUGACUGAGGGACCUUCCUUCUCUAUGAAGUUAGACAGAAGGGCUUUGUUCCCAGUCAUGUGCCUUGAACAUCCACUAUCCAGAUACCAGGUUGUGUUUGUGGAGCUCCUUUCCUGAGGUAACAUUAAGCCUUCAUUUUGGUACCCAUAUUUGCAUGGGUCCUACUAUGUUAGUACCCUUGGGGACCCAAAUCUGCUUUAUUUUGGGUCUCACGUGCAUGGAAUUAUAAUGAUAAUUCGCAGCCUUAUGACCAACUUUGUGGCAUUCAAAGCAUUUGAUAUGAUGCAUGUAAGUGUGUUUGUGAAAGUUCUUCCUCCAUUUGGACUUUUGUGGGUUAUUGGUCAUCCUUCUACUAGGUUGAUAUCCCCUUUUCCAUGUGUUCUCUUGUUUCAUUAAUUGAGGAGAGUAUAUCUCACUUCUACUGUGUCUUCCUGGUUGGUUCGUAGAGUUGAUUUUAUUGGACUCUACGAUCCUUCGAGGUUGAUAAGUAGUAGCUAGAUUACUUCUCUUUUCUGAAACCUAGACCAGCAUGAGAUCCCUUACUCUUGGGAAUAUGAAUUGAAUUAUCCAGACAGGGUUUGACAAGCUCAUCAUUCUGUGAGGAUUUCACAAAUAUAAUGCCUUUACUAAAACCUGAGGCAUUACUAGUGUUAACAUCCUUUGUUUUUUCCACACAUGACUCUGAGAUAGAUCCCCCAAAGCCUAGCCAUGUUCUAUCAGAGACAUUUCUCUGAUUAGAGAUUAAAGAAUCCAUGAUUGAAGAAGAUUUAUUCUAUGUGGAGAUGGUCUUUUUUAGAUCCUCAAUUUUUGAGGUUAGACUAGACUCUUGUUUUGCACUAAGCUCAUUUGUUUAUCUUAAGAGCUUAUUCUCAGCUUCAAGCUCAGAGAAAGAAUUAGCACUGAGAAGGGUUGUUUCCAGUUCUUCUUGAACCUUUUCUUUCUCCUUUUUAAGAAGUGAAUAAUCCUUAGACAGAACUCUAAACCACUUCAUGUAUUGGUGUAGAUCAGAUGUUAUGCCAUGCAAUGUAGUUCUAAGAUCAUCAAUAUCUACAUCAGGAGAGUUAAAGUCAAAUACCUCAUCGAUACUUACUUCGUGUAUGUUAGAGUUCUGUUUGUCCCUUGCAUUUUUGACCAUCAAGCAGAGAUUUGCUAUUUGAGGGUCUUCAUCAUCCCCAGAUUCAGGAGUUGAGUCAUUGUCUAAGUCACUCCACGAUCCUCCAGCUACAAGACCUUUUUCUUUCUUCUGUGGCCCUUUGUUGCCUCUGUAUUCUUUCUUUGAAUGAGAUUUCUUCUUGAGUUCUUCUCUAAGAGGUUUGUUACAAUUUGCAAUAAAGUGGCCUGAUUUCUUGUAAUUGUAGCAUAGGUCAUUCAUUUGCUCCUGGCUGCUGUAGUUGCUGACUUUCUUUGGCUUGUUGGUUUUGCCUCGUCGCAUGAACCUUCUUAGCCUUUUCACUAGCAUUACAAGGUCCUCAUCAUCAUCUUCAUCAUAAUCAGAAUCAACUUCAGUGCUGACUUUGGAGGCGUUAUCUGUUGCUUUAAGGGCUACACCUUUAUCCUUCUGCCUACCUUCAGAUAAGGUUUCUGCUCGUUGAGUCAGCUCCAGUUCAUAUGUGAGAAGGUUGCCAUACAACUGUUGAACAGUCAUUUCAUGUAGAUUUUUGGAUUCUCUAAUGGCAGUGGUUUUGGCAUCCCACUUGCUUGGUAAGGCUCUCAUGAACUUUAUGAUUAGAUCUUUGUUAGGAUAGAUCUUCCCAUAGGCUCGUAGAGAGUUGAGCAGUACAUUAAAUCUUUCGUAAGUGGCAGUAACGUUCUCUCCUUGAACGUGAGCGAACAUCUCAUAUUGCUGAGUCAAGAGAGAUUGUUUGUUUUCUCUGACUUCUUCUGUUCCUUCAUGCAUGAUGAGCAGUGUUUCCCAAACCUCCUUCACUAUUUUGCUGCUGACCACAUUUUUGAACAGAUCAUCUUUUAAAGAUUGGAACAAGAUGUUUUUGGCCUUUUUCUCGAGCUGGAUAGCUCUCUUCUCGUUCUCUGUCCAUUCUUCCUUGACCUUGAUCUGUACUCUGUUUGGGUCAUCUGUAGUUGGUGCAAGCUUUGUAGGAACAUAGGGUCCAUUCUGAACAGUUUCAAAUAGAUCUUCAUCUAUUUCAUCUAUGUAAGCUUGUAUCCUAACCUUCCAGUUAGCAAAUUUUUCUUUGUUGCACAUUGGUGGCUUGCUGCCUCCUCCAGUCUUUGAUUCGCUUGGUAAGUGUGCCAUUGGAUCUACUUAAGCUUUGUAGGUUGUAUUAUAGAACCUUCUUUGAUACCAAUUGUUAGUUCCCAGUAGGCACGAUAGAUAUCUAGAAGGGGGGUUGAAUAGAUAAUUAAAACUUUUCUUUUAAUCUUUUUAAGUUGAUGGCAAUCAAUGCACAGUGGAAUGAGUAUAUGUGAAAAACCUUCUGUUAUAUAUCUUGAGUUAAUGAGAUUAAGACAGUUAUGACAGUUAUAGCAAAUAUUGCAGUUAUAGCAGUUAAUGAACACAAUAGUUUUAAGUGGUUCAGAGCACUAAAAGCUCCUAGUCCACUCUUCUACCCCGUGAGUAGGAAAUCCACUAAGUAUGUCUGUUACACUUCUUGAAUCUCACAGAUUCCUUCUAGACCAGCAGUCUAGAUACUUCUUAGUUCACUCUUGAACUCUUCAAGUCCAGUAGACUUGGUUUCUCACAGUUCACUUAGAACUCUUCAAGUCCUUCAGACCUGGAACUCUUACUUCAGUUGAUUGAAUGUUGUUUAGAUCGUGAUUGAUGCUAUUCAGUUUCUAGUAAGCACUUGUUCGAAAGAACUGAAUAGCUGAGCAAGCUUUUCCUUUUUCUCAGAUCGUAGAGUUGAGUGUUGAGUGUUCUUAUGCGUUUUUUUCGUUCAAUACUUGCUUCUUCUUUCUCAUCUGUCUUUGAUCUGUAUAUAUAUGAUCUUGAAAUCUAUCUGUUGAAGUCAUCUGAUGAGCCAUUAAAUGUGUUUGACAUUUUUGAACUUUGAUGGAAACUUUUCUGCACAUCUUCUGAAUUACACUCUGGCCCACUGACACAGCAGACUGCUUUCUCACCUAACACCUCAAAAGGUGUUUUCCUCUGCCCAAUGGUCCUUUUCUUAGCUUCUUGAGUACAUUUCUUUUGAUCAAUACUAAGGAUAUCUUUUGUACGUUGGGACUGGUGAGAGCUUCAAUGUUCAAAACCCAUUCCAUAUUUGUUGGAGUCCAUCUUCAGAUGAACGAUAGGGCUUGAUGUUUCUGACACAAAGCAGAUGACACUCUACUAUCAAUAUCAUAAUGUCUUGUCAUAUUGGUGCCUGUUCGUAAGAGAUCACUACGAUUUCUCACAAGGAUUUGCACACUACGUUCUUCACUUGCUCGUCUUGUAAACUCUACAUUUCCGAGAGCACACUAAAAUAUUUUAACACUACGAUCUUCACUUGCUCGUCUUGCAGAUUCUGUGUUUCCGAGAGCACACUACGAUCUCUGAGUUAGUUUCGGCAAAAGUCUGGACCACACCUCAAUUCGU
rnacentral:lncRNA from 1 species